rnacentral:lncRNA from 1 species
UUUUUUUUUUUUUUUUUUUUUUAAGGUUUCCUUUUCCGUCUUGCUACCCUUACCUGUAAGUUGUUAUGGUACAAAGGUCCCUUUUUGAGCUAAAUUUAACUACAAAAAAUUAAUAAGGAACCCUAAAAGGUUCUGGUAAAACCAAGAAGAAACAAAAGAUCUAUUUUCAAAUCUUUGAACCCACUUCCAAAAAAAAAAAAAAAAACAAAACUUUGAACCUAAAACUCCCAAACAAGAUAAAACUUCAAAGUCCUCAUUCCUCUUAUUUUCAUAGCACGCAAAACUGCGUAUUUUCCUAGCAAAACCCCGUAUAAUUAGAAAAGGAGUAAGAUUGACUGUGGGGAAACUCGACAUUCCCGAUGCAGGAAGAAAGAAAAUUGAAUGUCUUUUAUGGGUGCUGUGUUCCGUCUGUGGACGGGAACUAAAUUAAAGCCACUAGUCCACAGUCCAUGCACCGAAUCUUAAAGAGGUACCGACAAUUUGCCAUCCAGAUUGACAUUUUCGUGUCUUCAAAAAAAAAAAAAAAGAUUGACAUUUUCGUCUUGAUAAUAUGAAAAUCCCUUGUCAAAGUUCUUGCUAAUUACUCGUUUGGAAAUGGAAAGGAAUCGCGGUAAAACUUUAGUGCAAAUUCAAAGUGUACAUUUUUCACCCUGAAAGGAGUCUAUGGUCAUGAAUAGUUAAUGCUAACAACUAUAUAUAUAUAUAUAUACAUUGAUAGUGUAUAUAUUAUUACCGUUAGAUUCAUGACACAUGUACAAAAGUUAAAGUUCAAAUUCAAAUUUUGUAUAGUUAUCAUUCAUUCAAUACUGAUAAUAUAUACAUCGUUAGUGUAAAAAGUUUAAUCUUAUAUAUAUAUAUAUAAAACAAUGCCAACAACUAGUCUGACUCGAUUUUUAUUUUUGUCAAUGCCAAUUUGGCACGACCUCACUAAGCUCGUAUAACAAAUUAUGAAGUUGUCAAAGAGAAUUUGGUCUUGUUAUUGACUUUUUUGUAAUUCUAUCUUCUGCAUGACUUAAUAAUAUUACCUACUAGCUUAUGUGAUAUGUGCAAUUUUUUUUAAAAGUUUUCUAUAAAGAUAGACAUGGAACAAGGAGAUCACGGAGAUAAACUAGGAAAAGGCCGCCAACCCGCAGAUUUCUUCUAGGGUAAUCAAAGGUAUGUUCAAAGAAAGCUUUCCAUAUGGCAGAAACAGUAUAUGGCCUUUCAUGUGAAACUUGGGUUGGUUCUGAAAUCCAGAGCAAAGUUGACCUCUAUUUUGGCCACCCUGGUGAAAAAACUCUUUGUUGGAGGCCAAAUCUUGAAUAGUUCCACCAUUAUUAAUCACCAACUAUCCCAGGCUGAGUUUGAAGGAUUUAAUGAUCAUUUAAUCAAGAAUCAAUAAAAGAAACAAAAUUGAGCAAUUGUACACUUGAAAUAGUUAAAAAAUCAAGAACAUAGUGAUUUAAUCCGAAAAUAUUUUUAAACCACUUUUAAAGUACCUGUUGGAACAAUAAGACACGAAUGAUCAAUGAAUUAGUUCAUUAAUCUUUUCGAUCUCUAACAAAAUGACAUACGACUGAAGUCAUGCAAAGAGAAUUAAUAGAUUAACUAUAAGCUAAGCUCAAGAUACAAAUUAUUUGUAGCAAAUUUCUUUCCUUGAAAUCAGUUCAAAAAUAGAGAAAAAAAAACAACAAAAACUGGAGUCUAUCUUUUCCUAUAGGUUGGUUGGGUAAAAGGAAGUAGUAAAGCUUAGUACAUGCAUGCACCAUCACUAUACGUUGUCAAUCAUGAAACAGUGGCACUUCAAAGUUCAAAGGGACUGAUCUAAAAGAUUAUUGAUCAGACUGGGAAAGUUAUUUUCUUUUUCCAAUAGUUUCCUUUUAAAUAGAAGACAAUGCAUUGGCAAAUUUCACUUUUCCUUUCUUACAUACCACUCUCCAAAUGCCAAAUUUGAACGCAAACCUGGAAGGUGCCAUUUUUUGUUUUCCUUUUUUUGGCAACUAACAUUACUACUGACCAUGGAAUCCAAUACGCAGCCAGUGGAUUUCUUUGUACCAGCUUUAAGUGCUUUUUCAGACACUUUUAUCUAUAUGCCUCGGUAUGAUGAUGAAACUGUUACAAAAAUAAAACAUUUUGUACCGAACAAUUUUCUUGAACUACGUACUUCCCCGUCUGUGUGUGUUUUUUAUUUUAUUUUUUUUUUUUUUUGGGUUUUGGGAAGAUUUUUUUUUUUUUUCCCUUGAAACAUAUGAUACUAUGAGGAAAUCACAAUGGAUUGGGCGAGAAACAAUGUGAAUGAUUAAUCAGAUGUUUGCCAACCAAAGAUUGUUGCCCUAAACCUGGGCUGGCCCAUUACACAUUUCUCCUUUAAUCCUCAGCCCGCACUCGUGGCACUUUCUAGUCGUACAGAGUUGCUUGCUAGUUCUCCUGGAUGGAUGAAAAUGGAGUCUUCAACAGUACAUGCAAGCAACCCCAAAAAAAAGAAAAAGAACUGAUCUUGAAUCCUAGACUUCCAAUAUAAUUAAUUAUCUAUAUGCUGAAAAUUCACAGAUGAAUAUUUCUACGGGUGCCAAAAAACUAGUAUAUAGAUAAUGCUAUUUACGAGUUCCAAUUUGAGGAUUCCCAAGCAAAGACAUUAUUAGCAUUAGUACGUGGUUUUCUGCAUAUGUGGUCACUUGUUCAGGUAAAUGAUAUCUCCGUGUAACUCGCGACCAAGCCGGGGAACAAAGAGACAGCAUUUCACCUUAAUGGCUUGCAAAAUUAUAUUCAUGGUGGCAAGCAUCUUCUCUUCUACAUCCAUCCAUUUGAGUCUAUUCGAUCUAUGGACACUGAUUGAAGAUGUUCCUCAUAGCCAAGAGUGCAUAACAGUCAUAGAGAGAGGAAGCAUGACUGCAUAUCGAGCACAACUUCAAAUAGCUAGAUCCGUGACAAUAAGAUGCAUGGCUCUCGCUAAGAGAUUUGAUGCAAUGGCAUCUUCUCUUGUAGGGGAAGUGCAUGGACGAAAAAUUAAGUGAUGUCAAAAAUAGUAAUAAGACAGAUGUCCUCGUCACAACUUUCAAUUGUGAAAUAGUGAGAGUUAUGGUGUGAAUAUUAUAUCCAGCAUGUUAAUUGAUUUCAUAUAGACUUGAUCAUACCAAAAUUUUCUUGUCAAUAUAUAAAUGGUGAAUGACAAAUCAUGUGGACUAAUGCAGCCACCUUAAUGAAUUGGAACAUUUCUUUAGAUGGCAAUAUUGACUUUGUUGACAACUAAUUGAUUUUGUAUCAUACAUAGCUCCUUCAUUCACAUACUCUUAAGAGCAGCAGCCCAUCAAGGUGCAGGCGCUUAGCGACAAAAGGUAGAAAUGAUGUCUUGCACAUAACUGAUUCUUAACGUUGGAAAUCCGAGGAUUAAUUACUUUGCAAACUCAAAAAGGUCACCAAAGAUCUUUACGUGUAGAUCUUUACAUGUAUAGCAAGCUGUAGCAAUUUCCUAUUGGACUAAAUGAGAUAUCUAAGGAGGUGGUGCGUAUACUCUUGUCGCUGGGGACAAGUCACAGACCUUCGCUUUAUAUAAGAAAUCAAAUCAAUGUGCGACCACAGCAUAUGAAGGACCAUCAUUGAGGAGAAGGCAAAGGUUGGAUUAGUGUAUAGUGUAUUUGAUGAAGAUGACUUCCUGGACUGCUCUCUGCAGUGUAACAUCUUCCAACUUUAUAUUGUAAAACAUCUCUAUCAAAACCUCCUUUAAUAACGAAAGUAGAAGAGAGAGAGAUCAAUAUGUUCAGUUCUACAGUUAUCCUUUUGUUCCCUGUUUACACCUACACCUCAAUCAUCCAUCCAACCAUAAAUACAUAAAUGGUGAGAGAGAGAGAGAGGGAGAGGGAGAGAGAGAUGAUGAUGAAAGAGGAGGAAGCCCAUAUGACUUGACAAGGGCUCAAAGUUCUCGCUUCUCAGUUGGGAAACGAGCAACGCUGUGAAACAGCAAGAGAGAAAUUUGCUGUUACUUUGGUACACAAUUCUAUGUAUUUUUACCCCCCCAAUUCUCCCUCCUUUACUUAUACCUUGUCUCCUCCGUCCCUAAACAAGCCAAAUUUCAUAUCUUUCAACUCCACGUGUGGAGGGAGAGAACACACAACACAACUCUCUCUGCCUUCAAACUCAUCAGUCAUCACUACUCCUUGCUCUAUUAUCCCUUUCUCACUUGCUCUAUAGCCCUUUCUCGCCUAUUGUCAUACUAAUAUCCCAACAAAAUCCCACAAAAAUCCCAGAUUCUGAACCUUCUCAAAAUCCAUAUAUAAACAAAUAGUUUUGUUUAUUUGCCUAUUUCUUAUGACACAAACCUAAAAUCUGCCUUCCGACGACUUCUAUAAGUUCAUACCCAAUAGCUUAUCUCCAUGCAAAGAAUUCAUUGUUGUUCAAACAUUUCAUCAGGUGAGACUGAUGAGAUUGGCAGUUUGGAGGCUGAUGAUCAAGAUGAUGAUUCUUUAACUCUUCUUUCUCUUGCUCCUCCAGGCCAAAACAACACCUCAAAGAAUCUUCUGGACUGUAGUUUUGAGUACUCCUCAUGCCAACUACCUCAGGAUAACUAUCAACAAUGCCCUAGGACUAGUGCUGAAAAUGGUGUAACAGUGGCACUUCAUAUUGGUCUGCCUACUUCAGAAGCUAGCUCUACUAGUCAUGCUCAUAACUUUGGGGUUCUUCCUGAAGGACAAUACUGGAUUCCUACUCCAGCUCAAAUUCUUGUUGGCCCCACUCAGUUUUCUUGUCCUGUAUGCAACAAAACAUUUAACAGAUACAACAAUAUGCAGGUUAUGGAACUUCUAUGUAAUUCAUUUUCAGUUAUAAUGAGAUCCUAUCAAUGUUCUUCUUUCCCCUUAACUCUUGCAUGCAAAAAUAAACAAAACCUUCAGUAACAAUAGUGCUGCAACUUGCAACUAGUUGGUUGCUACAGUAGUAUGUAGACUUGUUUCGAGAUUUUUGUGGUGAUGAUGAAUAUUUUAUGUGGGCUUAGAUCAAUCUCUUGCAUAACUUUUCAUCCUCAUGAUCCUUCUGUAGAUGCAUAUGUGGGGGCAUGGAUCACAAUACAGAAAAGGGCCAGAAUCUUUAAGAGGGACAAAGCCAGCCUCAUCCAUGCUUAAACUUCCCUGUUACUGUUGUGCUGAGGGAUGCAAGAACAACAUAGAUCAUCCAAGAUCAAGGCCCUUGAAGGAUUUAGGACUCUUCAAACACACUACAAGAGAAAGCAUGGGACAAAGCCAUUUCAGUGCAGAAAAUGUGGGAAGCCAUUUGCGGUUAGAGGAGACUGGAGGACUCAUGAAAAGAAUUGUGGGAAGUUAUGGUUUUGUAUUUGUGGUUCUGAUUUUAAGCAUAAAAGAUCACUCAAAGACCAUAUUAGAGCUUUUGGAGAUGGCCAUGCAGCACAUAGUCAAGACUUGCGUGGAAUUGAAGAAUUAGUAGAAUUAGAAGAAGAUGAUGAAGAAGAAGAGGACAACUACUAAGUAGGGCUAGAUAGACUUAAUUUGUACCCUCGAAAAGUAUUGGGGGUUUUGUUAGUUUGUACCCUAAACAUUAGUAUCUACUAACUUAUGUUUGUUGUCAAUUGACCAGUUUUCGUACAUGAUUUGCACGUUUGUAGUAGGUAAUAAUAAAUUGCACAUUGGCUCUUGUCAAUUUUGACCAAUUUAUGAUAGGAUUUUUUCCUAGUUUUUCAAAACAAAUUGUACACUCAGUAAUAGAUUAGUGUUAAAGGAUUAAAAAACCUACCUUAACGUACAUAAUACACUAGCGUUGUUGAUUUGAGUAUUCAAUGGUCACAAAGAGAAGUUUAGGAGGGUGCAAACUGUGCAAAACUCGAUCUAAUACUGAAAAGGGACAAAGUGGUAUUGAUCAAAAAGAUCAAGAAGUGAUUAAUGUGUGAAGAAUAGAAUAGAAAUGUCGGAUAUGAUUCUGCCAAUGUACAUCCAUUUAUUACAUGUGAACCUUUAGUUGUAGUAGUGGUGGUAGGCUGCUGAAGUCUGAAUAGUGACUAUUUGGCUCUAUGCUUCUGAAUGUGUCUGCGGAUCUAUCAUCUAUGUGUUUGAGGGACUUGAGAGAAGAGAAAGAGAGAAAUAAAAGGGAGAGAAAAAGAUGAGGACAAACAGUAUAAUGAAAGGCACAGUUGCAUGGCAUUAAUGUUCGAAGUGCCAGUUCGAUUAUCUGAUUAAAGUUUGGUUCUUUUCUUUUUUUCCCCACUUUAUUUUUUUGGGCCUUCAGAGUCUGACAGGAGAGUAGAGACUGAGUCUGAGUUUUUUCUGAGGCUUUUGGUCUGAGGGCCUGAGGAGGGCUGAGCUUGGACUAGCACUACUAACACUUUGAUAGAGGCUUUUGUCAGAAGGUAACAAUGGACCACUGGAAGUUUUUCUUUUUGGGGUUUCACCCAAAGUAUUAACUUUCUACCUUUUGGGACGAAACAAACAGAUUUUCGUAAUAUGUUGCCAGAGCCCUGUUUUUGCCUUCUUUAAGUUUAAUAAUGUGGUUGCAUGGGCUCAUAUGCACUCUGAUACUAUAUGGGCUGCUCUCUCAGAUGUAUAUGUCAAGGAUGAGGUCCAUAUCCUGCACUGCAUGCCUUACUUUUCAACAGUUUCACCGUCUUAUCAGUAUUAUCGCUCUACUUUUUUGAUACAUUCAACUUUCUGUUUCCUGUUCUUUCAUUUUUACCCAUUUUUGAGCUGUAAUUGGUAUUCGUUUUUCUCCCUGGUUUGAGACUUAGGCCGCAUAAAACUGGUCCAUUAUCAUUGUUAAAGUUCACUAAUUUUUACUAGUUUCCUUGGCUUGUUAGAACAGCCGUGACAAUUUGCCGUACUUCUGAUUUUAUUUGUUCUUCUUGUUUUUGUGUGCAAGUGUGUCAACUUCAACACACAGACAAAUUCUGGAGUGAGGUUUUCUUAUUGGACAAUAAAUUCAGACUUACUUUUUUCUGAUCAAGAUUUGAUCAGAAUUCUCAGAUGAUGGUUCUAAUCAAAUUAUUUGGUUUGCUGCAGGGAUGCAUGUACUACAGUAUAGUACACAAAAAGUCUGCAUUAUAUGGCCCUUUGGGCUGUCAAGACGCGAACAUUUUAUUGUAAUGAAUAGGAGAAAUGUUUUUGAUCGGAGAAAGAAAAGAAAAAAAGAAAUUACUCUUGUAGGAAACUUUAGCACUGUAGCCUAACAUGUCCAAGAAUUCCUUCUUCUGUUUCAUUCUUUUUUAUACGGUUAGAUUGAAUAGUUGUCAAGCAAAAAGAAUAGUUGUUGGAAUCCCAUCUAAGGAAAAGGGAUGCCUGUAAUCACCUUUAAACAGAAAAAUAUCUGGCGUUUCUCCAACAUUUUAUGAAGCUUAACCAAAGAAGCAACGUGGUGGCCGGGCUUCCUUGUCCCAAGUUUGACCAGUUAAAAAAAAAAUAAAAGGAGAUCUAGAUUAUUUGCUGCAAUUUAAGUCUGAAUUGAUCCCAAGUUGUAUGUAGAAGUGGUCAGGGGUUCUGGGUUUUUAUUUUGAUUAUCGUUUUCUAGCAAUACUCUUGUUCUUUUUAACAAGCCCUUCUGGCAUGAUGGAAAAGAAUAGUUCCAAUGCAAAUUUCUCUCUAUUUUUUCAUGCAUGCAUGUGCGGAUUGCAAGGACAACUCCACCAAGACACCCUCACUUAGAAACAUUUCAUCGAAUGAUAGAAUCUACGAACAUGGCCUCUCUAUCUCUUUUUCUUCGUUUUCAUUUGAGUUAGGCACUCAACUCACAGCUAUACAUACACAUUUUAUUCCCAGUUUUGUCCUAUUACUUCAUGGACUUUCUUCUUUCUUUUUUUUCCCCACUUUUUUUGGUAAGUCAACAAAUUUCUGUUUUGCUGUUCUUCUAGAUGAUAAGGGAGAGAAAAAUAUGACAGUAAUUUCUUCAAAAUCCAAUUCUGACAAUAAAGAUGGGAGACAUAUGGUCAAUGAUGCUGGUAGGAGAGAAAAAAACCAUUCUAAGUAGUACAAACGAUAAACCAGUACAAGCAUUUAUUGGACAGCUCUUGCUGCCAAACUAAUUAAUGCUUGAAUAAUUGUGGCUAUUCCUUGGAUCAACCUCCCUAUCAAUCAGUGAAGUUAGGGAUGGUUGCCUGAGGCUCAGUAGCCUUAGCAGCAGCUGAUGGUUCAGCAGUAGCUGUUGGCAACACUGGCUUAACCACCAACUCAGCUGGCAAAUCCUUAAUUCCCUUUAAAUAAAAUGUAUAGAACAGCUUAAAUGGGAACACAAUCUGCUGCAGCUUCACCACACCCUGCACCCCCUCGAAUACUCCUGAUCCAGCGGUCACAGCCAGAUGUGUGUCCUCGUAAGUCAAAUAUGGCCCCUGGACUGAAUGUGACCGUAGUCACCAAAAUAGAAGCUGUAGAUAGCCUCAUAACGAUCACCUUUCUUCUCAGGAACAUGUUUAUCAGCACACAUAAUCCUGAUGUUAUGCCUAAUCUCUUCUGCAAAUCACCUGUGUAGAGCUUAUUGCUGAAUGGAACUAGAUCACCUAGAGAAUUUGCGUCCUUUUUGCUAAGUCUCAAGUAUGCUGGGCUGCCCCUGUCCCUUUCAUUAAUCUCAUACACAUAUAGUUCUUGAACUUUAGCUGAAUCACAAAGACAUGAUUUUGUGAUGAGCAAUAAUACAUCGUGAAUCAUGAAAUCCAACUAAUUUUAGCUAGUAGUUUCACUGACUACCUCAAAAUUACCGAUAUUACUAUGCCUAGCAAAUCUUUUAUUUCCAAGAACUCGUAUUCAUUUGCUUGGAGAAAGUAGAAUGCAUCUGAUGGACCAUUUUCCUAUGGUUUGACGACAAAAUACUAACUAACUCAUCGAAUCGAAAAAAGAUUUAUUGGUACAGGAAGUACUCACUUGGUUCUGGCUUUGGUUUGCCGAUGUUGAAGAAGAAUGCUUUUGUCGAGCAUCUUUGGAGGGUCUUCUGGCGGAGAAGGCUUGGUGGGUCGUCGAGAUCUGGACAGAUUUAGUUAAAAGUGGAUUUGAAAGCUUAAACGCAAGCUUGUCAUAAUGGAUUCGAUGUUGGAAAGUGAUUCAAGAUUGAAUAGUUUAAGGGAAGAAACUGGUUGAGAGAGCUUGUACUUGCCAUUGAUGAAGUGGAUGCUAAUGGUUAGGGUUGAUCUACGCAAAGUAUAGGUUCAAGAAACAUCCAUCCAGGGGAGCAAUGUGCCUUGAUUUAGAAAGGUAUGUAGCUGGAAGAUUCUGCACCGAUAAAUUAUGCACCAAUAUUAAACGCACGACUUGUAAUUCUGAUUGGUUUAAGGGUACCUAUUGAUGAGACAAUAUAGCUUAAUAGUUUUUUUUUUCUCUUUAAUGUGGAAACACAGGCUGGACUCGUAAAAGUAGUCAAAAGCGGUAGCUGUAGGUGUGGAAAUAAUUAGAAAUUGGAAGAUCAUGGAGGGGGAAAAGUAUGAAUGUAGCAGCAAAAGCCAUAUCAAUCAGAACCUUCACAACAAAAGACAUAUUUGUUAGGUAUCGAUGCUAAAAUCUUGAGCACUGUGCAGAAGCAACAUCAAUGUUUGUUAGGAUCAUCAGAUUAAAAUGUAUAUUAAAGAGCUACAAUUAUUCAAAUGAUUAAAUAGUACAAGAAAAGUUUUCUGUACAUAUAAAUCAUUACUGUUCGUUGCUAUGUAUAACAGCCUUAAGAAUUUCUCACAAAUUGCAAACAUUUCAUAUCCCAAUUUCACCAGCUCUGGCAAUGGCCAUUGACAUGCCGGUAACAAUGCUGUACCUUACUUUGACCAGGCAACAUAUCUGGUGAACGAUGUCCCGAUAAUUGCUUAGCUGCCAGCAAAGUUCUAUAAAUGGUGUUGAUGUGAUCAAAACUGGGAUCAUCACUUAAGGCCUAAUGCUUUUGCCAUCUCAGGGUUGUAUAUGAGAUCCAUGGAUCCCAAGUUAAUGGAGGAGCAGGAGUUUAUUUCCUCCAUUACAUGUAGAAGAAAUGAAGUGUGCAAAAUGAAUCAUGAGUGAUUCAUCUAAGCUUUUGUUAAGAUUUCUGCGCCAGUUUUUGUAAUCAAAAUUGUGUGCUCGAAUUGCGCAGCAGGGCUGCCAUCAGCUGUCAGGGUUGUCCAGUUAUCCUCCAUGUGAUACACUCCGUGUUUCCCAAUGUAAGAAUUGGUUCUGCAGUAAAUUUACAAAACAUAACAGGUAAGGAUUCAAUUCAAUAAAAUUUCACUUUACUGCAAAACACAAUCUAAAGUGAAAAUAUAUCAAGAUAGUGCCGGACUUGCUGAAUAAGCCAAGAUGACAAAGUAAUAGAAAUUAUGGCAAAAAUGUACCAAAAACCUUUCAGCAAGUCCAAAAGGAAGUGAGGAUUUCAUUCAAAAAUAACCUCGUUUAGCAUUUAUGAUCUUUCAAAUUUCCUAGCGAAGUACCGUCAUGGUAUCACCUGAUGUACACUAUCAUUCCUUAUGAAUCCAUAACGGUCUCCCUCUGAUUUCAGGACUUUUUACAUGCAUUUGCGAUGCCAUGAACAAGUUAAUUUAUUAUUAUUGUUGUUGUUGUGUAGUUGUUGUUAAUUAAGCAACAGCAAGUUAGUUCAAUAGGGGAAAAGGUUCAAUAUACUGGUCAAAGCACAUCCAACUGAAUACCAGUACUUGAAGGUACAUAUUGCUUUCUAACAAGGCAACCAUGCACAAGCUCUCCCAAGUAUUUCUUAAAUUAAAACUAUGUUUGUGAUGUAUCGACAGACAAAUAAUAGAAACUGGCCAUUUAAAAGCAUUAUCUACAUUAAAGAGGAAUAUGCUCACCAAUUGUGAAUGUUUGCCCUCAACCAUGAAGCCUGGCUUAUCAUUGCCUGCAAACAACCAAAACAAAAUAAAAGUUGGCAUAACUUUGAAAGUACAAGUAGAAUCCAAAGGAAAAGACAAAUCCAAGUUCAGUAAACUUGAAUUAUAUGUUAUACCAUCUCCAAGCAUAAAACUAGAAUAACAGAAACAAGUUUCCAUUCAAAGCAAGGACACAGCAUAGGAAAAAGACAUACUUCAGAGGCAAGACAUUCAGAAUAAUGAAAAUACAUAGCCUAUUAGAAGUUAUAAAGCAGAUCUAAGGUUUUAAGAUUAUUUUUUAUUUUUAGGUCAUAAUGUGCGGAAAGAAAAGUCAAGGUGUUAUUCUAACUUCUAAAGAUAAUUACUCUUAGAAGAAUAUAAAGCCAACCAUCUUGGCUUGACUCUCAGUCUCCCUACAAAUUGACACAACUUAGAUUCUCCAAAAUCAAUGGUAUGGAUACAUACUCCAUUAUUAUGUCAAUCAAAGAGUUAAAAAGAAAGAAGGAAAUGAUAGGACUUACUUUCUAUAUUUGAAAUAUGCAAAGGCAGAAAUAGCUCUCAGUUUAGAGUUACCAUUUAAGCAACCUAGACAUUUUCCAAAGAAAGAUUAAACAAGACAUUUAGUUUGGACAAAAGAGAUUACUUGAAAAGUUUAGAUCACAUGCAAAUGGAAAGUGCAACCGUAGAUUAAGAUGUACUAUGUUAAGCCAAUCUGCAUUAAUUGGCUUUAAAUAUAAUUCUAGACCACCUAAGGAGGUAUAGCACGGUGCUACCUGAAGAAAGGUGCCACCUCGUCGAUGUUAGAGGAUCUUGAAUUCACCAUAUCAUAUGAUUAUCAUGUUAACAGAACAACAUGUAAUUCACUGAAAUGACAGCUUAGCAAGACCAUUACUAGUCAUUGGUGAAGGCUGAAGCUAGUGCAGUUUUCUUUAGCGACUGUGACAAUUAUACUGAAAGGAUUAACACGAGGGACUACUCACGGUGGUGAAAUAUAAGUGGUUCAGAAUGAAAUACAUUCCCAACACCAUGUCCAACAAAACGGUCCACCACGCCGUAACCAAAUUUCUCAGCAUGCUCACUGCAACGAUAAUUAACAGAGUCCUUAGAGAAGGCAAAAUAUACUUUAAAUUAAAACAACUUUUGUUUUGAGAAAGAUUUGCUCAUAUUUGAACACCUUCUAGUCUAACUAUAGUAAAAGUACAAAAGGUGACACUUUGGAUAUGGACUGGACUUCAUGAGAAAAUGUGUCGGGAUAAAAAAAUAACAUUCUUUUUUUUUUUUUUUUUUGGUCAAAAAGGCAACCUAACAUUAUUCCCCAUUCUCCUAUGCUUCCUUUUGCAUUGUGUGGACUCUUGGGCCAAAAACUUAUCAAGCCAUUCUGGUUUUCAGAUUGUUUCAGAGUCCAGGAGUGGAGCAGAAACCCAUACUGGGGAUAUUAACUGCGGCCAUCUGGCCCACUGAAUUGACCUACGUAUCAAUUGUGGCCUGUAUUGUUCACCUAUCCAUUGAUUCGACCUACGUGUCAAUUGUGGCCUGUAUUUUUUGUAUUUCCCUCCACAAAAAAUACCUGAAAUAACUGUCCCUUUUGAGAAAAUAAAUACAAAAAACAAAAUAAAAAAAAAAAAUCUAAGAAACGGACGACGCCAUGAAAGAAAGCAACAGAGCGCAGUCCUAGGCUAGCCUAAAAUUGCUGAAACAAAAUCUUCAAAACAUAACUCUGAUGAUUUCUUUUGUUUCCCAAGCAUAAUUUUAGGUACUAAAAUUCCUCAUAGAUCCUCGAAACAAUCAUGGCUACGGUUGCCACCAGUGGGGUUGGAUUAAGUGGAGCAAGACUCCAUGCUUUCAACUCCAGCAAACCAUUUUCUCCAUUUCUUGGGAAGAAGCUCAAGAUUAAACCAAUUUCUGAGUCAAUUCAUCCAACAAAGUUUAACCAUGCAAAAUCCAGGAAUCUUCUUGUUUUAGCAUCUGGGGUGGAUUUAAUGAGCUUUGUCAACGAUCUUUUUGUUGGGGUUGGAGUUGGACUUCCAUGUACGGUCAUGGCGUGUGGUGAUAUAAUUUAUAGAAGUACACUUCCAAGCUCAAAUGGUCUCACAGUUACAGUUCCUGGGACGAUUUUAGCACUGGGUGCUUUGUCUUAUUUGUGGGCUACUCCUGGUGUUGCCCCUGGUUUUUUUGAUAUGUUUGUGCUUGCAUUUGUUGAAAGACUGAUUAGACCUACCUAUCGGAAGGUUAGUUGAUUGUCUGGUGAAUUUUUGAUUUUGUAAAGUUUUGAGGAUAAAAUCUUGGAAUUUGGAUAAUUUGAUUUUGUUUUGUGGUGGCAGGAAGAUUUUGUGCUUGGGAAGAAAUUAGGUGAAGGGUCUUUUGGUGUGGUUUAUAGAGCUUCAUGGGCUAAAAAGCCCUCCCCAAAGGUAAAUAUUUGACAGGAACUUGCUAGUAUCAAAGUUUUGUUUAUUGUUUAUGUUAUUUCAGCCCUUUCGGAUUUUUUCCCCUUUAUGUGCUUUGCAUGUAUUAUAGGGAAUAUUGUUGAGGUUAUGCUGGUCCCUACUUGAACUUUGAUGGAAUAUUUUCUUCCAUUCUUUUGCUCAAAUGCUCAGACUUUAUAUAGAACCUAAUCACAUGUACAUGUAUCAAGUUUUUUCCAAACUUUCUUGUCAAUCUGGAAUGAAUGUGUUAUUAGGCCACAGUUUGCAUUAAUAUUAGCUGAUAAAGAUAUCUAGAAGGCAUGUUUGCUAAUUGUUAUUGGUAGCGAUCCUAAAAUAACAAUAGUUGCUAUUGGUUGUCACUCAAAGGGUGGAGAGUUAGUCUUGAAAAAGGCUACUGAAUAUGGAGCAGUGGAGAUAUGGAUGAAUGAACGUUUGCGAAGGGCUUGUGCUAGUAGCUGUGCUGAUUUUGUGUAUGGCUUUCUCGAGGUGCUGCUCUCUUUGCCUAAUGUUGCUAAGUAUGAUUAUAGCAGAGAUAAUAAGACAGCUUCAAGCACAUAUCUAUAACUUUUGCAAAUUGGAUUCAGAGUUCUUCAAAGAAACAAGCUGAAUAUUGGCUUAUAUGGCGUUUUGAAGGGGAAGCCACACUUGCUGAUUUAAUGCAAAGUAGGGAGUUUCCUUACAAUGUUGGUACCACUUCUGUCUCACCUUAAUUCUAAAUCUGUGAUGCAGAACAAAUCUCCUUGAUGGAAUUUUCAAGUAGAUAUAUUAUGAUGUGGAAAUCAUCUGUUCCAUAUGUUAUCCAUUUUGAACAUCACUAUGACUUAUUAUGUGUAUUUGCUUAGGUGCAUAUUAGACGUGCACAAUUCCAUGAAGGCUCACGGUAGCAUAUUUAAGGACAUAGCUGCUGGCCUAAAAAAGUGCCAACUCUUUCGUUUUGUAACUUAUAUAUUCAAUUCAUGACAUGAAUUAUAUGUAUUGUUACAUAAUGACGUAGGCCAACCAUUGGACCAUAGCUGUGCUUAUUGUUCCAUAGUGUAAAGCCCUAAGAUAAUAGGAUUUCCCUCCAAACAUAGCUGUGCUUAUUGUUCCAAAGUGGUAGAGUAACUGAUUCUUAAUAGAAACAAUAAUGUUGUAUUGUGAGGACAGAAGAGAAUAAAACUGUACUCUCUUCAGGAAAAAUUUCAUAGAGCUUGCCUGCCAAAAGGAAAAAGAUUAUAGUUGUCCAUAUUAUGAUGAACUGGUAGGCAAACAAAGAUAUCAUUGGUAGCUCUCCAGGUACAGAGUAACAACGGUGGCCACAAGAACUUCUCAAAGUGACAAUUGUGUUGUCAGGACCAGAAGGGUGUCAAAAUACUAGCUGAGAUUGGUUUCUAUUGAUAGUCUUUAGCCUCUAUCCCAAGCUUUCAGUGAGUUGAAGGUGAAUUUGGCUACCUUUAUGAGUGAAACAGUAGAAAUAGAUUUCUAGAACUGCAAGAAAGAAGAAGAUUUACAAAGAAAAUCAGGAAUUACUGAAACAAGGAGCACAGAAAAGAAAACUUGGAAAUUGAAUGAGAAGUCAAAUAUUUGUUCAACUGAAAAGAAAUGUUUGCUAGUAGGAAAAUUCUUGUCCAAGAAUUAAGAAUCCGUUGUCCAGAUUUCCCCUUCUGGCACUCAAAGGGUAGAGCCUGUAGAUUGACUGCUGAAACUAUGAAUCCUGACUAGACACACAAGAUUAAGAUGGUGACCUCUCCAGCUUUGCUUCAGUUAGAUGCUCUAGAUUAGAAACUGAUUCCUUUUUCACAUGGCAAAGUGCUUCACGGGUGGAUUUCUGAGGUUGAAAACUUUUCCAGUAUAUCCAGGUCUUUGAGUCACUUUUGUUGUAAAAUAUGCCAAAUGAGUCCCCCCCCCCCUCCCCCUCUCCUGGAAAAGAAGUCCUAGUUGUUUAUCUCCCUUUAACCUAUAUUAGCAAUAGGUUGAUCUAACUAUGGUUUUGUGUUCAUUAUCUUGUCUAAAGAAAAGGUCAAUGCUUUUGUACACUUUUUGCAAUGAGUUGCUGAGACGGUCUCUAUAUGACAUAUAAGAUCAAAUUUACAUUUCUAGCCUCUUCUGCUAACCUUAAUGAAGUUUUCGCAAACUUAAAGGUGGAAGCACUGCUUCUCGGGGAGGUUAACAACUUGCCUAAGGCUCUAGAAAGGGAAAAUCAAAUUAUCCAGACUAUUUUGGGACAGAUCUUGUUUGCAUUAGAUGGUCUUCACUCAACCGGAAUUGUCCACAGAGAUAUUAAGCCACAGAACAUAAUUUUCACUGAAGGUGACUGUUUUGUGCCAACCUUACUUAUUAGCAGCUCGCUUAAACUCUCUCUCUAUUGUUUCUUUCAGUUUUUUUUCUUUUUCUUUUCAUUUUUCUUCAUUAAAUGUGAUGCAGGUUCUCGCACAUUCAAAAUCAUUGAUCUUGGAGCUGCUACAGAUUUAAGGGUGGGCAUCAAUUAUAUUCCUAAGGAGUUUCUGUUAGAUCCAAGGUAACUUUUCAGCUCAACAAAAAUCAAUCACUGCCAGGAGCAUGUUGGUUUCUUUUCUAUACACUAAAGUACUCAAACUUGCAAAUAGCUGCUGAUAAAGUACUAAAGUUUCUAGGACAGCCUAAUCUAAUGUCAUUAUCAAACCAAUAAGAAAGUAUCAGUUAGUUACUCAUGAGAAAUCCUGUAAAAUCCUGGAUAUUGACCCAAAUCCUUACCUGGGGUCAUCUACUCAAAUGUUACCUUUUUCAUUAGGAAAAGAAAAUUAUGUUGAGCAAAGUAUCAAUCAACUUCAGUUAUCUCAGAUCAAAAUGUGUAAUAGUCCUUCCCUACACCAAAAUUCAUCCCAGAAUUAGUGGCCAUCUUGGUUCUCUUAGUCAUGUGAAAAUGCUAGGAAAAAUUCACUGCAGGGAUGAGAGGGUUAGAAAAUGGAGCGCUACAAACCUCCACCCCUCCUUUCCCCAAAAACAACCUUUUUAGUCAUACAGGAAAUGUUCUUCGUAGAAAAAGCCAACCAACCAUCAAGUAUACUUUGUUUUUGGGAAGGGAAGAAGAAGAGGGAAGGAGCGAAUUUUUGGGCAAUGGAACAACUUUAAAGUUGACUUCUUUUGUACUUUUGGAAGUCCAUCACAAUUAAGAAUAUUUUUGUUUUCGAUUUCCCAUAAAUUGCAAUAUUAAAUAACCGUUCUUACGUGACUUUCAUAACCAUUUGGUAUCAGGCAGUAGAAGAGUGUAUUUCAUGCUAUGAACUGAUUUAGUUUCACAACCCCAUCGAGUUGAUUUUGUUCAAUACGAUCCACAAAUUUAAAUUAUCACCUCAAGGAGUCAAAUACAUAAUAUCUGAGUUGAAGUUGUAAUAAGUUAUUAUCCCAGUAACAGUUUCAUAUUUGGAAUAUACAUUGGGACUGAAAUCAUUAGGCUUUAUUUGAUCUCUUUACGGAUAUUCAUUGAGCAUUAUCCAGGCUAACAGGAGCUACUUUCUUGAUAGGCUCCAAGCAUCAAUCUAAUUCCAUCAAUUAGAUUCACAUGAUUCCAGACUUUGGUUUAUUUGCACAACAUUAUUAUUUCUCAUUUUCUCCAGGUAUGCUGCACCUGAGCAGUAUAUUAUGAGCACUCAAACACCCUCUGCACCUUCAGCUCCAGUUGCAACGGCACUAUCUCCUGUUUUAUGGCAGGUAUUGUGUCUUCUAUGAAUACUUUCAUCUUCACGCCACUUGAGGUUGAGCGAUACAUUUGACUUACCCCUAAACAACAAUGUCUGAGCAGCUAAAUUUACCAGAUCGCUUUGACAUCUACAGCGCCGGGCUCGUAUUUUUACAAAUGGUAAGUUAGCGAUACUAGUUAAUUAUGACUGUUUCUCCUGGAUGAUGUCCUAGGAAUGCAAGCAGUUACCUAUAGGAGAACAAUAUACUCUUUUCACGAGUAUAAAAAAUGGUCAAUAAGUAGUUGGAAUAUCCUUUGCUGAGAUUGUCAUUCUGUACUUAUUUUCACAUUGUCAUUGACUAACAAACUUCACCAUGUUUAAAAUUCAAACGGAAAAAAGAAAAAUCUUGGAAAGAAUUUUCUGUCUCUGUCUGCAUAUAACAAUGGCACAAAUAUAUGUAAAUGAUGUUUGAUAUUCCUUUUGAGGUUCUGCAUUUCAAAAUUUCCCUACAGAGAAGCUAACUCGAUCCCCAAGUGCGGCAUUGAAGUCUGAAACUAAUCAAGUAACACUAUGAUUGUGGUGAUUGAUAAUUACUGUUUUAUUGCAUUGGGUGUAGUGUUUGAUUGGCACUGCCUUAGUGACUCCCCCUUAUUGAUGAUGAGCUCAUUGCCUGCAGGCGUUCCCUGGACUACGAAACGACAAUAGUCUCAUACAAUUUAAACGUCAGCUAAAGCGAUGUGACUACGAUCUGGUUGCAUGGAGGAAUACAGUAGAACCACGUGCAAGCAAUGAGCUUAGAAGGGGCUUUGAGUUGUUAGAUCUGGAUGGUGGCAUUGGAUGGGAACUUUUAACAUCAAUGGUUCGGUAUAAGGCACGCCAAAGAGUCAGCGCAAAAGAAGCUUUAGCUCAUCCUUACUUUGAUAGAGAAGGCCUAUUGGCCAUGUCCUUUAUGCAGAACCUAAGGAUGCAAUAUUAUCGAGUGACACAACAAGACUAUAGUGAAGCUCUCAAGUGGGUUGUUCGGCUGAUGGCAAAGUCAGGAACAGAGCAGGACGGUGGCUUCACUGAAGCACAGCUUCAGGAGCUCAGGGUUUGUAUAUGCUAAACUGCAUAUUAUGGAUUUUAGAAAUAGUUACACUAUGAGUUACAACUCUCUAUCUGCUUUAUGCAGGAUAUACAACCUAAAAAGAAGUCGAGUGCGCAAAGGAAUGCUCUUGCAUCAGCUCUCAAGCUGCAGAGAAAAAUCAUAAGGACAUUAAAGGAGAGUGUUGAUGAACUUAAUCAAAGGCGAAAGAGCGUAUGGUGGAAUCGGUGGAUCCCAAGAGAGGAAUGAAAUUUGUAAAAAUAGUAAUUUACUUAUGCAUGUAAAUUAUUUUGCAGUCCUCAACCUUAACUUCUCUAGCGGAGUAAAUGAUGUCUAAUAGAGAGUAGAAAAGCAGAUUUUAUAUAAAAAGUAAUGUACAUCAUUCCACUCACACUCGGAUUAAUCCUCUUGUAUGAUAGGAGACGUAUAAAAGAAAAUUUACAGAUAAUCGAUUGUCCCUUCAGUUUUCUGAUUCUGAAUUUCAUACCAUUAUCCUCAGGCAUGCAGAAACACACAUUAACGAAGGCCAAAGAUCAUUCCUGUUGCAUUAUUGUGAGGUUGGUUCUUCUUCCAUGAAGCUGCUUAAUUCAGCCCUUCAUUUCACUUUCUCAAUUUAUUCCUUUUGUAGUAACAUGGAUACGUAGUUCGUUGGAGCUACAAAAAUAGGCAUAUAGAUAGCAUGAUAAUUGACUAAUUAUUUCUGUCUUCCUCACUGGAAUGAAGAUUGUAAGUGGCUAUAAUACGUGUGCAUUCAUCAUUUCCAUAUCCAUCGAAUGGAGUUAGUAGGAAAUGGAACAUCAUAUACAUAGUUUUUUCUUCUUUAAUUUCCUUAACAUUUCUCUUAUUUGCCUCCUUUUCCUAAUCUUGCUUUUCUAUUAGUACUAGUAAUUUCAUCUUGCUUAAUUUGGUGUGUUCGGAAACAAAAAUUUUUCAAAUAUAAUUUUAUUUGUGUCAUAAAAACAUUCUUCAACCACGUUUUUAUAUUUUCAAUUAUCUUUUUAUCUCACAUACAUCAUAUCAAAAAAAGUGCUAUAGCGAUCUUUCUAAAUAAUAUUUUAAGCAAUCUGCCAUCCAAACACACUACGGUAAUUUCAGUUCUGCCACGCUCCAUAAUGCUCAAUUAAAAAUCCUUUCCGGAUCUCAAGGUUUUCACAGCAUACCUGGGAUAUUUCCAGGCAAAAACUGUUAAGGAUGACGAUGAGCCAUGUUAUGGCAUGAGACCUAUCAUUGUGCCAACAAUGUAUUGACCCGUUGUGCUGGAUACGUAUGAGAGUUUCAGAGCUGUGAUAUACAAGUCGGAAUAAUUACAUAUCUAAGCUAAAACUUUAGGAUGAUAAAUGCGUAAAAAAAUAAAAAGGAUAAUGAAUAAGUCAAGCUAAUUCUCUGUUCAUGUUGUGUUCCCUACCCAUAGAGGAUAUAGGGCUUGUUUUCAAAUGAUUCUAAGUAAAUUAAAACAAGAAGAUAAAUGUUUUUAGCUUCUGAUCUGAUUCGAAUUAUGAAAAUCAGAAGCAUCUGUGAGAACUUAUCUACAAAGUUUGAGGUUCUCUGCAGAGCUGACGACUUCAUCCCCGAACUUACAUGGCAAUUCAUGGCUAAGUAAAACUUAAAACUGAGGCCAACGGUGACGGCCAGAUAACCAAAAAUUGGUCUCGUUGUUAGUUGAAAACAUUGGAAGCAAUUCUGACAUGCUUAGGAUAAGUAAUUAUUGUUCGUACAGUUAAUUAACUGUCAUCAACUCACUAUCAAGAAAGAAACCCUUCAGUCCCCACCAUCAUCCUACCUUCCUUCCUCUCCUGAGGGAACUCCAUUUAUGGAGAUUUGAUACGCCCGUAAGAAUACAACUCAUGCACUACUAUGCUUCUUACUACUGAUAUUAUUACCCAUUCGUGCUGGCUUAUGGCAGUUGACACCACAAUUAGGCUACUUAACAUAUUCAAAUCUGCAGAAGUAGCGUCAUCAAUAACUAAUUUACAACUAAGCACUAUUGCUUUGCGGAUGAACUAGCUUUUAAAUAAUUUAGGUGAAUAUACCUACCUAUAUAGAGUUCAAACGUUGGUGGCAGCAAUAAUUAACGAUUAGUAGCAUAAGAUGAUGUCGAGAAUAGCAGGAACAACAACCGUAUCAACCAUGAGAGCUUCACGUGUGACCUGACCUUCUUGUUCAGGCACACAAAAGUCCACUUUUUCAGCCCUUGACAGUACAACACACACCCCACCAUAGUCACUUCAAAGUAAGCCUGGAAGACUCGGAUUAUGGCAUAGUACAAGUUUCUUAAUCAGCACUGUCCCCCUCAGACUUGUUUUCUUUCUUUUAUUGAUAUUUUCCCCUUACCCAAUGUGGUUUUUGGGUCAUAGCCCAUCGUAUGAUUUUAUUGGCAUUUCAAAGUUUUGAUUAGCUUUGGAUAUUUCAUGGUUCAUGAUCAUUUGUUGUUUUAUGCGUGCAUAGAACAAUGACUAUAGCUUACUGAGUCAUCCUGCAUCUAUUUUAAGGACCUGCACAUUGCUUUAUCAUGAGCUAUGGAGCUUGGACUCAAUGUAUCAUGAUUUAACCUUGACUCAGACAUAAUGAAAAUCCAUCAUGGCGGACGAAUUCCCCAUAAGUUAGGUCCAUCUACACGCUUAACAUAAGAUUUGAAAGGAAAAAUUCUUCACUAUGUAAUUGCUAUCAUGCAUUCAAACUCAUCAGUAGAAGAAACGUUUUUCUAUGGCAUACCCUAGUAUCCACUAAAGGAAAGAGCGAAAAAAAAAAAAAAAAAGAGAGAGAAAGAAAAACCAUGUAUUACAAUUAGUUCAAGCUGACUAGAAAAACCAAUAAAACUUUAAUGUCCUAGUCAAGGAGUUGGAGUGUGAAGUGUUACAUUACGUUAUGUAAUUACUUUAUACUCCCUCUCUUUUUUUAUAACUGACGUUUAAGAAAUUUGCUUUUAAGUACUUUUAUCUGUCGUUGUAUUAUCCACAUGCAGCAUUAAUUAUUUUUUCACAAUUUUGCCCUUUUAUCUCUCUUUAUCAAUACAGGACUCUUAAUUACCACUCCUAGUAAUUAUUACUUCUCUCUUUGCUUUUGGCCUAAUAAAACAGCAUCAUUUAAUACUCUAGUGAGAGAAAACAUGAGUGAAUUGGACAAUUAAUGAGGGUACAAAAGGAAAGUAGUGUAUAGAUUUAAACAAUGAAAAACUUUUCUUAAUUGGUGUGCAAAACCUUAAACGUCAGUUAUAAAAAAAGGGAGGGAGUAUAAUGAAGUGUCAUGCGUUAUAUUAUGUUGUUGCUUAAUACCUUUCUUUAUAUCGAGUGAUGAGUUUGAAUUGAAGACAGCUUACGUGAGCUCAGAAACUGAGAAUGGCAGCUUCAAAACUGCUCAAAAGAAAGAACCCCCAAAAAAAGAAAGUAAAAAAAAAUCUUAAAUCAAUAGUUUAUUAGAACUUUAGGUUACUGAAAGCUGGUGUCCUUAGUGAAAUGGGAGGAACACGAGAUAAAGCAAGUGGGUUGGCUUUGCUUGGUAACCUGAUCAUCAAGAUUAAAUUAACCAUUCACUUAAUCGAAUUUUGUGCUGUUUCCCCACUAGAUUUCAGCAAGAAAGGAGUAGUAGAAAAUUCAGCUAUGGUCAUUGCUUGGAAAUGUGGUUUCUUGGGUUCUUAAAUGCUGGUGCAAUAAAAGAGAAUAUGGCGGGGUAAUUGAAGGCUCACGUGAGGCUUAGUUUGACCGUUAUUUUGAUCCGAUUCCCUCGACAAGUAGCGUAAAAAUUCUCGUAAUUAAGCCAAAAUAUGCAGGGCAUACGAUGUUGAAACUUCCUUCCAUUUUUGCAAUUUAAUUCUCUCAAGCAUAUCUUUCUUUGAUCCCUUUUGGUUUUCAAUGUCAUUUUCAGAAUUUUCUAGCACAAAACUUUUUAUGGGUUCUUUGCCUUCAAUUUAUUUUGACAAAUUAUGACAAAAUGUUUCCUACAAAAAAUUCAAUGUCAUUUUACUUUGAGCAGAGUGAUUUCCAUUGGAAUUGUUGAAGACGAUCCUGCAAAGUAAAACGGUGACAAGGCAUCUUCAUUCAGCAAGUUCUUUAAAUUUCUCAUUCAGGAUGUUUUUUUGAUACCCUUAGCUUAGUAGGGUAAAUGCUUUAAUGCCAAUCCGAAUUUACUGAUACUCGUUGUGGCAGUCAACCUAAGAUGACUGAACCCAGAUAUGAUUUCUCCUGUUAAAGAUAUUAUUACAAAAAAAAAAAAAAAAUUCUCAAUAAAAUUGAUUCGUUCUUGGGUCAAUUCAAACUUUUAUUGUUUGCAUGGCAUGCCAACUGUAAGUUUAGUGCUUCAAGAAAAAAGAAAAAUGGAAAUCAAAACUUUGAAUAUAACACUUUGUAUAUCAGUGAUCACUAUAGUGACCCCUACUGAUACAGAAGGCAGAAUUCCUGGAAAAAAUGUUGCCUUGAAGCCGCCACUGCACCCCAUUGUCAUACAUACUGUCUCAGUAACUCCCAGUUAUACAAAGCAAAUACGGGAACUGUUGACUUGAAGUUGCAACCGCACCCCAUUAUCAUACCGAAUUGUCCCAUAUGAAUAAUGCUGAUGGAAAUUUUGCUGGAUUAGAUUGGGAUAAUUCAUUAUAGUAGGCUCUAUUAGGUGGUGCUUUACUUUACAUGUACGUUAGUUAAAAUGGGCAUUUUUUAGUAGGAUCCAACUGAGACCCUCACUUUGUCUGUUUAGGUGGAUCCGACUCAAAUAAGACAUGAACUUAAAUGAGUGUACCAGAAAUAUGCAGGAGAAGGGUCAUUUUGACCAAAAUUAUCACCUCAUCAUCAACACUAUUGCAAGGCAGCUCAUAAACUAAGGAAUUGUGCUACCUUAUUGAAGUAAUGGCUGACCCCUUAUGUUGGUAGGUGAUGCAUGAUAACCAGAGUUGUAUAUAGAGAAUGACAUGGCACUAUGGCAUUGAAUCUACACUUGUACAAAUAUGCAUUAGUAGCGGUAUUUAUUUACUCACUAGUGUUUGAAUAAUUUUAAUCUUUAUUUUUUUUUUCCCCUCCAUGUUGGGGGUUUAUAGCAUGGAAUCCCAAGUGGGUAUGGGACCCUUAUGGUACUGUCUGGUGAGCUAGGGGGCACUGCACACCCCUUGAUGCCCCAUAGUUGGCUCUUUACUCGACCGAGGCAAGUUUGGGCCACACUUGAAACUCCUUAUAUAAAGAGCCCUUCUUGCUCUUUGUUCAUCACUUCAAUUUCAGCAACUUCUUCAUUCAUCACUUGUGAGUUUACCUGCACCAAAGCACAAAGAAGAAAAAAGAACACUUCUUGCAAACUAUUGUAGAGAAGAUGAAGAUGAGCAGCACAAACAUGGGAAGCUCCAAGAGAAGAAUUUCAAGCAGAGGACUAGGAGGGGUCCUAAGAGAGCAAAGGGCUAGGCUUUACAUAAUCAGAAGAUGUGUGGUCAUGCAGCUUUGCUGGCAUGAAUGAAGAGUAUCUUUCUAGUUCUAUCUAGCCUUCAAUAAGAAGGGAUGCUUGUUUCUUUCUUCUUCUUCUUCUUUGAUCAUCUUGGGGAGUGUAAAUAGCAAAGGCCGAGAUUAGUGAGAAAGAAGUUAACAAUUUUGUACUAAUUAUUAAUUGGCUUUAUGAGCCCUCGUGUGUAUACAGUCGGAUAGCUUAAUGGAUUGAAAAAAUCAUCUUUAUCAAUUCAUUGAGUCUUAGUAAUUCUUUUCAUUUCCAUUCAUAUUCUCUCCUUUGAUAUUGUGUGUUAUCAUUUCUGCUGUGGAUUUUUGAAGAUGGAGGACUAGCUAGUUCAUCAGCCAAACUUAAUCAAGCUUUUGCAGGAUGAGGACAUGCCCACAAAAUUGGGUAGCUGAAGUCUAAUUCACAUUAAUCUUUACCUUCUGGUGAUCGGCUAAUCAUCCUUAUGUGAUCAUUUCUUUCAUCAGUCCUCAUGGAGGUUGACUAGUUUAUUAUCCUCACAAUAGUUCGCAUUCAUCACGGUCCUCAACGUACACAAAAAACAAUGAAGAUAAUGAAUGCUUGGAUAUUUAAGCAAUAGGGAACUGGUGAUGAACGAGUUGGGAAGAUGUAUGAUUGGAUUCUUUAGUGCUAGCUCAAAGUUCAUAUCAACUUCAAUUUGCAGAUUUUUCUACUUGUAUUUUCUUUCCUGAAUUAUUCGAAUAUCUGGAUCCCCAGAUUCAGAAUCAGAUGAGCAGGACUUCUAAGUUUCUUCCCAGAAAUUAAAAUUCAAAAAUCCAGCUCUUUGGAAGACUUUUUUUUAUUUCGUUUUAUUUUGGUAUUGGCAUUGGAUUGUUUUCUUUCCUGCAAGAAGUAGUACUAGUACUUCCCUGUUGUCCAAAUUUAGAAGCUACCUAAGCCAUCCCACAAGUACCAGAGAAAACAGGGGUGGAAAAAUUUGUAGUCGUUUUAUUAGGCUUAGCCAGUCAGGUUAUAGCAGAUACGAUACAUAUUACACUUAAUUUUGCAGGCUUUUUUUUUUUUUUCAGAAAAAAAAAGUAGUUGAUAUUUCUAGAUUUAUGCUCUUUAUUUCUGCGCAUAAACUUGAAUUAAACUCUUGACUGGUGCAAACAAGAAAGGGAAAAAAAAUAUAUAGAUUAUCUUUAAUUAGGAGAAUAAUGACUAAACCUUUUUUUCUUUAUAUAUAGAUUUUGAGGGAAUUAUUAUGUUAGCAAAAACCUAGAAAUAGUAGUAUUAUUUCCUGCUGUUUUAACACUUUCUGAUUAUCAUGUAGGCCCUAUAAUCAUUUAAAGUGAUAAAUGCUGUGAUCUUACUUUCCUAGUUUCCAAUCCAGUCAAACUAUUUACAAACUUUUUGUACUCUCAGGAAAGCAGGUCCAAAAAAGAGACAGUAGCAUCUUACUGCAAAGCAUUAUGUUAUUACUUGUUACAUACUUAAUUAACGAUUUUGAUUGUCGUCUUGUGAAUUGCAGGUGCAACAAGAAAUUGACUUAAGACACUAAUUGAUAUAUUUCAUCUGUUUCUUUUGUCUGCUUUUGAUAAUUGAGGGUUUGGUGGCUACAAAUUAAACAUGAAAAUUUAGCUAAUUAAGCUUUUAAUAAUAAUUAAGUUGGAGACUAGUUAGUUUGUGACAACGUAUUGUCUUGAUCAUCUUGUCUUCAACCAAACCUGCAUUAGCGAAUUUCAAAGUAUUCUAGUCGAAGAAAGAGAUGUUGGCCCAACCAGACAACGCCACUGACCCUUAUGUUAAAUCCUGUGAUUAAUGAUUAUCCUAUCCAAGGGACAUUGGAGUCUAACCUUCAUUUCAUUAACAAUUUGUGGGUAAUUAAGGGACUCCAACCUAAUAUUUACAUGUGCCAUGCAUAUUUAUUUAAACUGAAUUAUUAAGUAGUAGUAGAAUUGAAAUAAUAGCACAUAAACUUAAUUAGGAUAAACAGUCAGAUAUUAACACUUCAAACUAUGCUGAACUAGAAUAAUCUUCUUGGAAGGUACUAUUCAUUAUUCUCUUUUUCUUUUCUUUUUUUUUUUCCAUUUUCUCCCAAUUAUUCAGCUAGAGUUGGGCCAACAGGCGCCUAACAACAAAAAGAAAAACUAGUGCCAGAACCAGGCUGCGGCAAAAAACAAGAUAGGAUAAAAAGGAGCAAAAUAUUUGUAUUUUAGUGAUCGUGAGGUACCACAAUAUUUAGUUGUUCUAGUUGAAUUAAAACUUAGGUGAUAGUGACGAACUAAAAAUAAUGGAUAUCAAUUGUCCUCUUUGUUUAAUUUUUAGUAACAUUAUACACAAAGUCUAAAUUUCAAUCUGCAAAUUUACUAUUAAAAACUUGAUAUUUAUAAAUCAAAAAAAUAAUUUUUUUUUAAAUAGCGCGUGAGUGAGAGGGUUCGAAUUCAAAAUCUCACAUUUGCACUCUUUUAUUUUUAAAUAAAAGAGUGCUCUAUAUAUUAUCAAGAAACGUGCCAUCUAAAAACAUGCAACAUAAGAAAUAUCGCUCAUCUUCUGUUUAUUGGAUGCCAAAUCAAUUAAAUGCCGAAUCAAAUUUUGAUGUAAGAUGGUUGAUGUUUCAUGUUUCUUGAAGAGAUUUAUGAUUAAAACGUCAACUUUUAUGCUUAAAUUCAUCUGGAAUCAAACUUACAGCGCGAAGCUUACUGCGUUUGCCAUUCAAUUCUUGCGGCAUCAACAUGAUCUGAUCUGCGAUCAUGUUACUAAAACUGUUCUUUUCUUCUUUCCCCUUCAAAAGAAAAACGAUCAUGCACAGAAAGAAAAGGUGAACCGGAAAAAUCAAACAAAAGUGCUGUACAAGAAAGAAAAAAUAAAUAAUGGCAAAUGGGGUGAAGGAGUUGAAACAGUUAAAAGUCCAAAACUGAAGUGGGGCAAAGAUUGUCAGGCUGCACAGGAGCUGAAUCGCUAAUCUAAUAUUCUGCUGUCGGCCACAUAACAAUUGCCAUCUCAUCUCGUCUCAGCUAAGCCAAAAUUGAGGUGAGCUCAAGAAAUGGAAGUGAUGGAGCCAACCCCCGACACAAUAUGUGAUCAGUCAAAAUGGCAGCCUUAUCCACCCCCACGUGCAUUUUCUUAUCUUCAACCCCACCACCACCACCAUCCCAGCCCAUGAGGCAACCACCACCACCACCUCCACCUCCACAACGACCAUGACCUCCCUCCCCUUUCAAACCCCCCCAGUCCCCACUCCCUGUGAUUCUUUUCUAAUCAUCAAAAAAAUCCCCAUCAAAGUGGUCCGCCCGCCUACCCCUCCCUAGGCAUAUAGAUUCUUCCUAUGUAGUACUCGUAUACUUACUUCCAGUAUGGACUUGGACUAACAUGCAUACAUCAUCACUGCUGAAAAAUUUAACCGAUAUAUCUUCAAAAAAAAAAGAAAGAAAGAGAGGAACGUAAAACUUGUUUCAAGAUUCAGAUCAACUGCUAUAUGCAUGUAUAUAUGUAUGUUUGUGUGUGUAUAUAUAUAUCUUCUUGUACUUGGGAUGCAAUAGACGUUCAAUGCCAAUAUCUGACUAAGAUAAUUCAUAUCUCCUUCGUUACGUACGCUUGAAUGGAUGGUUGGCUUUGCAAUGGAUGAUAUAUCUCCCAGUUUUGGGGUCUAAUCUUAGCACCCGCCAAGCAUAUAUGCUCGCCCGUUUGUAGAUACAUCUGGGUGAAUUGAUGCGUAGUUUUGGUAGGUAAGGUGAGUCAGAGUUGAUAAGAACAGCUGACUAACGAGUAACUGGGUGGAAUCAUAAUUUACGUAAAUUAAAUGGGUCAGAAAGGCAAUUAUAUGAUAGGUCUACGCGUGUCAAUAUUUCUUCCCCUCCCAUGCGGCCCUUUGGCAUAGAUGCAAAGGAAGUGGAAAGCCUGGAAGGGGUUUCGUUAAGCUAGGGGCGGAGCCAGGAAAAAAUCCUAGUGGGGGCAAAAAUAAUACUAAAAUUUUUUAUUUACUCUUUUUCUAAUUUUUUAAGCAAAAAAAAAAAAAAGUUUCAGGCAUAAAAACACCGUUUCACAAGUUAAAAUAUUUAUCAAAUAACUCAUUUAUUAGUUAUUACAUUAACUAAUCAAUUUUCAAAUUUCUUUAAAACAGUAAUAGUCUCAUGCUCUAGAAAUAUAUUUGCAAACAAAUUUAAAAUAAUAAUAAUAAUAAGUAAUUGUUUAGAACCUGAUUUUGGUGGUCUCCUAAAGUUGGUGAAAAGAGUUGCAAAAUGUGGCGGACCCAAGUCCUAAAAGAUCAAUUGAUUUUGGUGCAAUCUCUAAAUAGAAUGAAGUGAUCAAAAGAAAGAGUAACAAACUUUGGUUGUGGAAAAAAAAAAUGGCUCUCCCGUGUAUGUUGGGGAGUGGGGACAACCAAGAGUCAGAUAAAGAAAGGGAAAUUGGGGAGUGGGGGCAAAGGAAGUAAAUGAUAAUUGGAUGAAGUGAUAAAAAGAAAAAAAUAGUUGGCUUGGAUGUGGAAGAAGAGGAGCCAGUUGUGAAGGGAAAUGGGGGACCACAGGAGUAAAGGGAACUUGGAGAGUGCGGACCAAAAGGAAUGACUGAUAUAAUUGGUACUUCGCCCUGUUGGUGGGAAAAUGAGAACUAGAGGAGGAAAAUGAAUGAUAUAAAUUUUGUGAUCUAUUCUUUCACAUUUUUUCUAAAAAAAAUUCUGGAAGCACCUUUAAAAUUAUGUCAAAAUUAUAGAUGUAUUAUAGGAAUUUAAGGGGAGCAGUGGGGCCGGUGCCCCCACUUUAAAUCCGCCCCUUGAGCUUAGAACCUUGGAAGGCUUUGGUGGGCAUCAUCACUUGAACUCAUUUCUCAAUUGUUUCUGUCAAUUGUGCCCGCAAUUAUUCGUUGUGAGAAAGUGAUUACAGAUGGGAGCAGUGGGCGCUUUCAUGCUAAAAGAAUGUGCUUUUGUCCACCUCCGAAACACCCCCCCCACCCCCUCCCAAAACCCCCAACCCUACAGCAAUUACCUCUGACUUGAAUAUAAAUUUAAAUCUAACAAAGAAAAUGAAGAAAAAAGGGGUUUAUGUGAUAAAUUUCUCGUAAUAAAGACGUGAUUACCUUUUUGCUGGUUAGAUUACGUUUGAUCGUUAGUCAUGAGGAUAGUUUGUAGGUAGGUUUCAUCAACGUAAAGGGUGAUUUGUUACUUACCUCUAAUGAGAGGGGGGUAAUUGAAAUUUAGCCUGGAAUGAAAGGAAGGAGAAAUCAAUCAUGCAGAGUCUAUAUAUCUUUUGAAUUUUUUAUUCUUGUGAGAGGAUUUAAUAUUGAGAAUCGAGAGGCCAAUGCAUUGCGAUAGAAACAAGAGAAGAAGAAGCCAGAAGUGGUCCAUUUCCACAUGGAUUAAUUUAACUCUUUCGGACUUGUGGCAUUAGGGGUUCAGCCUAGAUGGUGUCUUAUUGGGACACAGCCACUCAUGCAGCUCUGCAUUGCUUCUUUUUCUUUUGGUGCUUUGAACUUUGAAGGCUUGCCUGCUUCAUGAUGGUCAAGAAACUAAACUAUAGAUGUAAAAAAAAAAAAAACACACUCUUUUUUUCUUUCCAACCUCAAUGUCCUCCCUGUCCACCUCCAAUAAUAUAUCUAUCCAAAUCGAUCUGUGUGGAUGAUUGCUGAGAAUAGUAACCUUUUGCAUGCAAUUAUAUGAUCAAGCGUCUGCGUGUACAUGUGUGAAUUAACUGUGCUGUAGGAUUCGGCCGCGAAGAUAUAUGACAAAGUUUUGCAAGAUUCAAACGACUCAUGAUUUGAAGUUAGAGUAACAAUCAAUACGAAAAUGAGGGGAAAAAAAUGUUAUUGCAUGAUUACGAGUAUUGAAUUUACGUGACAAGAUCCAAUUCACAGGGUCCCUCCAUUGUGAUGAAAACAUUGCAUUUCACCUACAUUUGCUACCAUUUGACAUCUACUCCUAACUCUUCUGCCCGGUGGCGGAGGGAGGGGGGGAGUGACUAGCAAUAACUUUGUUUUUGCUCAUAAUAUUUUAUAGAUUUUUUUUUUUUUUUGGUAAUUUUCUUUUAACUUGUCCUCCCUCCGAGUCCGCAGGUAUUGUUUACCUUACAUGAUCUCUUGCCUUCUUCCCCUCCUCCUGUAACUUGACUUUUUGCCUAAAAAAUGUUAUGGUCCUUCUCUUCUUUAAAUUGCUGCCCAAAGUAAAACAUACUUAUUAUGUCAAAGAAAUCCUUGCUAAUUGGAGUAUAUCUUUUUGUGCAUGUAUUGUGUACAAGUUAAUCAGUAAAGAUUGUCAAAUAGAUGGAACAUUGGGUGGGGGUUUAAUCAGUUAAGAAAAUGAAAUCAAUAAAGUUAUGAACUUUCACAAAACGAUCAUUCUACCUGAAGUUAAAACGGAUGACACAUUUAAUAUCUAUCCUAUUCUGCACAUCAAUUAUUUUAUCUGCAGGAUAGGAAAAUCGGGUGUUACAUGGAAAUGCUACAACUCGUUAUCCAACUUGAAAAUACCAUUUAGAAGAUGACUUUAAGUUCACCACUUAAACCACUCUUUACUCUCAAGAAUCGAAACUGAUAAUCCUAGCAUGGCAAAUAGUGUGUGUGUGUGUGUGUGCGUGUGAAGUAUCUAGGCAGAAGCAAAAGGGUCCUGGAAAGGUGGAACUGGAGUGGACAAUAUUGUGAUAAAAAAAGAGUGUAGUUGCUGGCACAUUUUGGUGAAACUGCCCUCUGUCGAAUGCUUUAUACCGCGUUCCUUCCCACAUCAUCUCAAACAAGGAAAAAGAAAAAGAGGUACGAGACUUUCAGAUCAAAGUUUGGUGAUUCUUGAACAAAAGAGACACCUAAUUAUGACCCAGCCUCAACUUCUUUUUAUCUUGGAAGAAAAUUUUAAGUGACGAAUCAAAUGAGCAUCCAAAUCUUUGGAGUGCAUAUCAUCAUACUUAUUUAUUGUCUAUUACUCGCUCUUAGAAUUAUGAUAAUAGAGAAAAAAAAAUUAGAUGACCGUUCGUUUCCAAAAUUCAAUUUAACUCGUACGAACAUUAGUGUGAUCAUGAGUUUUCUCGUUCAACUCUUUAACCUUUUCUUUUUUUCUUUCCCCCGCUAAGUACUAUUCUACAUUUUGUUGAUUCGAUAUCUUCUUUAUUCAAACAAAUAUUUGGCCAGCUAGUAACACAAAAAAGAAGAAGAAGAAAAAUUACUCCCGCUUGAGCAAGCUGCCAAUGUAGGAGUGGAGCGUGCAACACAUGAUGUUCUACACCCCGAAAGUCCCAACCCCCACCCUUUGAGAGGGCACAAGGUCCACAACCGCACCCACCAGGCAGAGCAAUUACCAAUUCUGCAUCCUAGAAUGACUACUGCUGAAACCGAUCAUGUUAAGGCUAGGACCAGUCGUUUCUAAAAUCCAUUUAUAGGCCAACCAUAAUAUGACCUGUAAGGUUCUUAGGUUCAAUGAAUCCUUCAUUUACGUUGAUGGGACAUAUGAAUCCAUCUUUGUUCCAACGAAAUAAUGGUUGACCUGAUGCUGGAAUUCUCUCGAGUUCUCCGUUGAGUAUUCUAUUUAGGUAUAUGUACCUUAAGGGUCUGUUUGGUUCAUGGAAUGACACAGAAUAGUAUUUUUGAAGUAUAGAUAUAUAUAUAUAUAUAUACACACAAAACGGAUAGGCGCGAUCGUGAGUACUAAAUCAAGAUCUAAUUCUUACUACAUCAUAGUGUCUUUGGAGUACAUUAGCCCUUUUUACUUUAUCUCUCUAUGAAGAAUAAAUUAUCCUUACUUAAAGAAAAUAAUGUCAGCAGAUAUAUGGUAGUUUCCAUGAAUCCAUUUUUAGACAGAAAUUAUUGAGAGCUAUAGGGAGUUCAAAGUUUCAUGAGCUGCGGUGUGGUGCCAGAUUGUAUAAGGGCCCCAUGUAGCGAUUUUUUGUUGGACUGAUGAUUCGAUCUUUACAAACAGGUGUGAACAGAUAGUUCAGCCAUCAGUUCUUAAUGCUCUUAGUGGACUGAGGGACCAAAGCCCAGAGUUUGCCUAACAAGGACAAAUAUCAUAGGCCCAACAAUGGGCUAUUUUUUAUUUUUUAUUUUUAUAUUUUUUUAGUAUGAGUGGGAGGACUCCAACCAAGUUUUUAGAAAAAUUCCUACACUUUCACAGUGGAGAUGUUUCACUUUUUUUUUUUUUUGUGGUGUUCCAUUUUAAAUUUUUUUUUUUUUUUAAUGGGGGAUGUGGAGAAGAAGCAGGAAUGAAAUAAUGGGCAUAAAAACAGAGAAAUUUGACUAGCAAGUGACAGUAAUCAAUUGUCUUAACUAUUGGACUAAGGUUUAAUGAUUAGAUGCACUGUGCUCUUCCGCUGUGUUCCAUUUUGCAGGCUUCGUCAUCCAGAACUUUCAGCCCAGUAACCUUUUAUCCUGGAUCCAAAUGAGCCACCAUGACAUGCAGAUGUAGCUUCUAAAUCUGGACGAAUGGAGCAAAGUUAUCUGUCUGGGUUUGUAUGCUUUUUGUUCUUUAAUUUGAGCCAACUCAGGCCCAAGUAUGUUUCAUUUGUCACUCCUUCAAAGCAUGGCUCAAAAGCUUUAGCUUGACAUGCAAAUGAGCUUUGUAAUGCUUAAGUUUUGAGCGAACCAAGCAAUCUACAAACAAGUUCGUAUUUGCCUUGUUUGAGUUCUUGAUUUCGAACACAAAAUUAGACUGGUGGAAUAAUUUAGCCGCCCUCUCUUCUCCUCCCUUUCUUAAAUCUGGUCGUAUGAUUCGAUCGUGACCAAAUCUAUUCACACGACAAAAUUCCAUUGAAAAAGAGGACGAAGGUGUUUCGUUAACCCUUCCCUCUUCCCCCACCCCCUCUUCACGUCAUCACCUCCACUUUUCCCUCUCUCUCCUCCCCUUUCAUCCCCCUCCCUUGCAUUUAGAGCUGUUAAGCGUAACGAGCUACUCGAAAGCUCGUUAAGGCUCGGAUCGAUAAGGCUCGAGCUCGGCUCGUUAAUUUCAAUUAACGAGCCGAGCUCGAGCUCGAUAAAUACUCGUUGAGUUAUCGAGCCGAGUAAGCUCGAACUCGAUUCUUUAUCGAGUAGCUCGGUUGAGCUCGACAAAGAAGGGUAUUUGUGUCAUUUUAGCAGUCAACAAGUAGAAAUUUGGACUAGGGUUGAUAUUGCAUCGUCUCAUACUCUCAUUCUUCAUUUCUGCCUCUCCCUCUCCGCUGCACGCCGCACCCAGUAACCCACAGCCGCACCCACAGGCCACAGCCCCGCAACGCCGCAGCUCCGCAACCCUGCAACCCUGCAGCCCGGAUCUGGAUCAACCCUGCAACCCCGCAGCUCCGCAACCCUGCCAGCCCCGCAACACCGCAACCCGCAACCAGUAACCCACAGCCGCACCCACAGCCCCGCAACGCCUCAGCUCUGCAACCCCGCAGCAACCCCGCAGCCCCGCACAACCCCGCAACCCCGCAGCCCGCAACCCCGCAACACCGUAACCCCGCACUCCACAGCAAGCCGCACUCCACAGCUGCAACCCACAGCAACCUCUGCCUCCACUGCCGCCCACAGCCUCUGUUUUCUGCCAUUAACAACCCCGUCCACGGCCAGGGCCAAAACCAGUCCAAUUUGACUGGUUUCUCUAAUCCUUCGUGAUAUUUGGUAAGUCUCGUCUCUUUUCGUAGGUUAAUUGUACUGAAUGACAAGAGUUCAUUCUUGUCUCUUUUCUGGUUUAGUAGCAGUUGGUAAUGUAGUAGUUGACACAUCUCAUAUGUACAAGGAUGGAUCAACAAAUUUUCUUCUCGCGUGAGGACUGCAUCCAACCUCUUUGUUUUAUUCCUUUCUGCAAUAACUUGCAGUUCAAUCAUAGAAAUUUAAUGUGGAAAAUCUAGAUUAUGCUUAUUAAUAUCUGAUAAUUUUAAAGAGUACUCGAAAAGAUAACGUCUGAGUUUUUGCAGUAGUUUUACCUUUUCUUCAUGGAUUUCUUGGGGGGAUGGGGUGGGGAAGCAAGAAGUGUUCUGCUUGUGGGUAUAAUCUGCUGCUAAAUGUGCCUAUAAAUCUUUUCUAAAACUUAAUUAUUAGUACAAUUAGAUAUUGCACUUCAAUAUCUGGAGGAUUGAAAGGGAAGAAAAUAAGUAUGGUUGAUUAAGACUUCUUAUUUGUGAAAUUUGAGAAAAAAGAUGUAAGGAUGUUAACCUUGAUAUCAAAAAAGCCUUACGGACUUAAUUUGGACAGCAUACUUCUUUUUUUUUGGGUAAAUUUUUGAUCUUUUGAAUGAAACAUGUCAAUGUUCGUGAGCUAACUGUUGCACUAUCACAGGGAUUGAUUGGCCUUUCAUUUCAUUUCAUUUCAAUUUCAAAGUGUUUGAUUAGUUUGAUAUUUUCGUCUUGGGGCCAUUUAUGUGUGUGUGAAUUGAGUUAAAUGAAUUGUUGAAUGAAUAAUAUAGGCACUACACCAUAUGUGCCUUCAUCUAUUUUGUUCAGCCUCUCGAACUCAUCAACACUUUUACAACCCUGAAGCAUGUUCACGGCCCUUGGUGGAGGAACUGCAUGUUCUGGUGUCCCGUGGGAGUUGUGUUCAUCAUCAGAACCAGUAUCCGCAUUGCUACCACUGGUUCCACCAUAACUGCGAUCUUCAUCAACCUCCAUGUACUCAUUCCUGUCCAAUUCAUCAGGAUCACUAUCUCCACUAAAGGAUCUAACGCGUUCAUCAGAAGACCUGACCCUAUUUCCCACUGAACCUUCUCUCCUCAGUUCCAUGUACUCAUUCCUUGUGAAGCUGUACUUAUUCUUGUGAUUUCUGAAGGGGUUGUACUUUUUCUUGUCAGGUGUUUGAAGUUGGACAAUUUUUAAGCUAUGUAGCAGUGUUUUACAUGGUUAUUUGGCUGUAGUUUGUGCGUUUAUUUGGCUGGACAAAACCUGUUAUGGUAUAUUGGCUCUUAUGAAUGUUGUUUCAUAUGGAAUUAGACUGUAGUUUGUGUAUUUGUUGACUGCAGCCCUGGAGUUUGUGUUGUAUGGAUCAUGGAUGUUAUGGUCUUAUUUGUCUUGGAUGAAAUGUGGUUAGAGUUUGUGUAUUGUUGAAUGUGAAUGGCAUUGGUUGCCAAUCCUAAUAUUUUUUGUUGAUUUUGGAUAGCCUAAAUCUGGAUAUGUUGGAGCAGGACUUCGUAAAUAACUGAUUGUUGAAUUUUGAAAUCGAGCCUCAAAAUCGAGUCUCGAGCUUCGAACUCGAGUCUAAAAUCAAGCCUCGAGCCUCGAACUCGAGCCUUGAGCUCGGAUAGAUAUUUCGAGCUCGAGCUCGAGCUCGUCCCGAGCCUGGCUCGUUUAUGAUAAACGAGUCGAGCUCGAGCUCGAGUUCGAGUCACAUUUCCUUUUUUCGAGUCGAGUUCGAGUGCGUAUUAUGGCUCGUUAGCGCUAUCGAGCGAGCUCGAGCUUGGCUCGAAUUCGUCACGAGUCGAGCUCGGCGUUCAGAUACUCGGCUCGACUCGGCUCGAUUAACAGCACUACUUGCAUUCCCCCACCACCUUCCUCUUUCUCCACAUUGGUUCCCUUUCUCCUUCACCCCCGUCCUCCCUUCCCCCUCCCCUCCUUGAAUCUAGCAGGAAUGAACGACCAGGUUGUGACCAAAUCUGGUCACACAACAAGAUCCCAUGGGAAAGGAGGGAGGAAAACCUAAAACAGGAAGGCGGGGAGGCAAGAAAUAGAAGGUGAAGUGCUACAAGAGGAGAAAAGGUGGAGAAAAAUGAGGAAAUGGAAGGCAGAAGAACAGAGGGAGGAUAAGGAAGGUGAGGUGGUAGAGAAGGGAAAAAAGAAAGAAAAGGGAGUAACAGAGGAAACAGGAAAAACUGCAAAUUAUAAAAAUACUCCAAAUAUAUUUCAAAUUUUAAAGGCACGUAAAAUACAAUUGCACAGUAAAUUUUUACUAUACAAUCCUAUAGUAUAAUUUUUAUAAAAUAUCCCAAAAAAUGUCUAAUCCAUGCCAAUCCAUAGGUUUACAUAUGAUGGUAUCUAUAAUUGUAAAUGAAGUAAAACUUGAUAAGCCACCUUUCCAUUUUCUCGCAUGACCCUAAUCUUGGUCUUAUCUCGAUAAAAAGAGGGAAAAAUACAAAAGAAAAUGCAAAACAAAUAAAAAAAUGUCAGAAAAGCACAUUUUAGUUAUGAUAAAAUAAACAAAAGCAUACCCAUCAAGUUACAAUUGUAACAGGUACAAGGAAGCUGUCAUACAAACUUACGUUCAACUGAGAAGCUAGUCAAAACAUGGGCUACUAUAUGAGCCUAUACAUCAUUCAAGUAUUCUGAUUCAAAAUGAACAUUUUUAGCAAGAAGCUUCAAAUUGACAGCUUCAAAGUCAGUCGUCCUUUCUCUCCAUUCCGUGCUUCAGACAAAAAACCCACCUGUGCUCCUGCUUGUCAAGUACCGUGCUCCUCAAUGUCAGCAGAUUUGUUUCCACCCCAUGAUAUAAAACUAUCCUGAGAUGCAAAUUCCUGCAAUUUGUUUCCACCCCAUGAUAUAAAACUAUCCUGAGAUGCAAAUUCCUGCAAAGCACUUGAAACCUUGAACUAGAACUAAAGAAGGUGAAGGUAGUAGUAAACUAACCAAGAUAAAGUAGACUACUAAUAUAAUAUGAAGCAGGGAGAGGAGGUUUGAACUCACAAGCUGGCUCAACCGGAAGUCAGGAGGUGUAUCUAGCUCCAGGUUUACUGGAUCAAGGACCAGAUCUUGGCACUCUUCUAAAUCUUUCUUCAAAUGUUCAGGUCCUAAGUGGGCAUAAUCAGCAAGACGAGGUUUGGGUUUUAAUUCUUGCUCAUUUUUAUCUCCAUCUCUGUUUGGAGAUUGGCUCCGUAGAAACUCAUCACAUAAAGAUAGUGCUUCUACAAGUUGCUGUGAGUCUAGCAAGUAUUGUGAUUCACUAUCCCACCACUCUCUCUUCUCACCAGCAUCAUUGUCGGUUUUAUCAUCCUGUUGAUCAGCAAGAUCCACAGCAGUGACAGGAUCUUCACAAUUGGGCUGGUCGCUUGGAGGUCUAACCUCAUCUUCCAUGCAAACCACACCAUGAUGCUACAGAAUAAUUAACAAUCACUGAAUGAUAGAUAAUGGAGAUGUUAAUAGAAUUUCUAAUUCUCCACCCUGGCAAGAGUCCUCUACCAUCGUGAUUUUGGUGGUUGUGCUACCCCGCAAACUUCUUUUUUUAAAGUUCAUAAAUGAGUAUAAGAUCAAUACAAUGAACAAAAAAUGAUGUAACAGCCACAGAACACAAAGGUGCCUUUGAUUGGCGGUCAUAAGAAGCAAAAUGAAUGGCAAAUACUAAACACCCCCACCCUUCAUGGUAUCUGGAAGUGCCAAAUUGAAAUGAUUUUAAACAGGGAGGACCCAACUUUACCUGAGCCGCUGGAAGAACAGAUUCUUGGGCAUCACAAUCAGGGAAGUGGCUUUCAGUACGAGGUGGUUCAGGGGUCACAGACUUGGGAGUAACAGGAUCUACCUUGACAAUCGAGGCAUCAUCUUCUGGAACUUCUACUUCAGCCUUUUCAUUCUGCUUGACCUGUUGCUGCUGAUAAAAGACCUUGGAGAUAACAUAUUCUCCCUCCCUUUCAUCUUCCUCUGUACCAAGGUGAUACUGGUGCAUCACCCAAUUAGUCUUCUCUGGCUUGCCACCUCUUACUGGGCUAAGAUACAGCACCAUAAUUUUUUUACAUCCUUUUUGUAUACAAUCCAAAUGAACAGGCUUUGUCCGACCAGUCUUAUGCCAACGAACAUCUCCAGAACUGUCACCAAGUAUCUUUCGACGUUUUCUAGUUCCAGUAUUAUAAGCUUUGAUUGCCCUGUGAAAAAAGUGUGCUACACUUCCAUCCUGUUUAACACCUAAAAACCACUACUUUAAAAGACUGAAGUCCAAAGAAAACAAUUACAAACCAAAGCAUUAAAGUGGAAUUAUUAAGUCUUGUAUAUGUAAACAUAACCUACCAGGCAAAUUUUGAGGAUGGGUAUAGCAGAUUCCAUCAUCUUCAUUAACAGUUGGAAUAAAUUCUUCAAUAAAAGGAUGGGGCUUCAUAUUUUCAAUUCCAACUUUUCCAAGUAAAUGCCAAAUAAUUUCUUGAUCAGAUGGAUCAAACUUUACCCCUCGAGGUAAUCCCGGCCACUCUUGGGUGACCUGAAAAAACAAAGACAGAAGAAAGAAACAAACGAUUUUCAGCUUUCAGUCUCUAACUGCUCCUAUGCACUUUUAAUAUGAGGAAAACAUCUUUUGGAAAACUGGCAACUAAAUGUUCUGUUCAUCUCACUACUAUGUUUUUGCUCUAGCAAAGCAAAUGGGCUUAACCUUCGACACAGCCACAUGGGACAAAUACGCAUAAAAGCAUACCAAAAUUUUAACGAAGCUGAAAAUCAGAAAAUCAAUUCAUCCUGCCCCACAAUUAUUGAUUUCUCUUACACAAUUAAAAAUAGCAAUGUCCAUAGGCUUUCUCUUACACAAGUAUUUUUGCAUUUCAACCACACCUAAAAGAACAAUACUGAUUAUUAAAUAAUGAUCCAAUGAAGAAAGCACAGGCAAGUAGAAAGAGAUGGGUCACAGAUAUUAAAUAUGAUAAUCUUUCUUCUCAAUUAACCACUCCCAGAAACUAAUUUCCAACAAUAAAUUUGUGUUUCUGAUUAAGAAGCAACUACUGCUGAAGCUUGUUCCAGAUAAUAUGAUGCACAUCCAUUUUGAGAUAUGCAAAAAUUUAUGAGAGAAGAAAUAUACAUCGCUAUUGUCAAUGACAUGCUGACAAUUUGGGCAAGUUUUUGUAGGAUUGCUUGUCCAGUUAACUUGUUGCAGAUUACUUGCGCCAGAUGCACUCCUAAUUUUGGUUGCAAUUCUGUUACUAUCAACCAGCCACGAUGGUCUGCAUAAUUUCACGAAAUAAAUCAAGUUCAUGCACUGAACAGCUUGAAAGCUUAAGAAGUGCCAAAGCAGAUGAGACCCAUAAGAAUAGAGGAUAUUGACACGGAAGUAAAUAUUAGACCACAUAUAAUUAGGAUUCUACAGCAUACAGAAAAUGUAUGAAAAUAUAGAUUUGAAAAGUAAGCAAGCAUAAUUAGCAGCACAGGAAAAAUGUACAUAAGAUUUCACACCAAUUAAAGCAUAAUCUUGCCAAACAAUAAAAUCAUUUCACAUUCACUACAUCUGGAUUUGCAUUUAGAGGAAAGAACCAUACUUAGAAGCACAACAAAAUCAGUGGGAAGAUACUUUGCUCCUCUACUAAAUGCAAAUCAAUUUCGAAACUUUUCUCAACUUCAUCCUUUAAUAGGCAGCACAGAGUAAACUUCUCCAAAGAAGUUGUUUUUACCAGCCAGAAAUAAAUACAUCCAUUGCUUAUUAUCAAUAAAAGCUAAUGAGGUUUAUCAGAAGUUAUGUUAUGAAUAUAUAUAUAUAUAUAUAUAUAUAUAUAUAUAUAUAUAUAUAUAUAUAUAUAUAUAUAUAUCCUUUAAGGAGCUACCUGCAUCCAAAAGAAUUAUCUGCAGGCUUAAAAUUUAGGACUACAGGAGUCAACAAAAUAAUUUCAUUCUUUUAGAUGUUUUUCUAUUCAGAAUAAGAAUUACACUCCAUUAAGUAUUAGAAAUUUUCUUGAAUAACAUUAAAUAUCCAAUUCAUGUUCUCGUGCUAAGUUUUACUCAAGACACGUCAGACCUCAUUUACCUGAAAUAAUGGCCCUUCUCUUGCAAAUACAAGUCAUGUUAUCUCACUUUGCUCAUUUCCAAACAUAACUAUUAUGGGAUGUUGGCCCCUUUCUCAAGAUGAAAAAAAAAAAGAAACAAAAAAAAGAUGACAAUGGAGGAUAUUCUCCUAAUAACAUCUGUUCCAACAACUGAAAAUGGCUAUGGUUCAUAUCGAUGUUUGAAUGUGAUAAAAAUUGCAUAUUUAUACGAUUUUGACUUGAGCCGGAAAGCCUUUGCAGACAUCCUCAACUUUCUCAAUCACAAAACAAACACAAACCUGAAUUAGUUGACUUCUUGUGUAUUACUGAAUUUAAUAGAUCAAUAUACUCAAAACUGACUACAUUCACCCAUUAAAUGAAUAAAAAAAAAUAAAUGAAUAGAAAGGGGCAAUCACAACUUCUCGACUGUAAAAUCGGGAAAGCAAGAAAAUCAAUCCCCUGAAAACCAGCAGGCAAAUAUUCCCACAUUGACCAUUCAACGCCAGAACCAGCAAUUCUUUUUUAGCUACAUGCAGCUCUAAACGUCUUAUAGGAAUAUCAAGCACCAAAACUCACCGCUAUCAACGAAAACUCACAUGAUAUAAUCACAUGCACAUAUAUCUCCAACUGCAAAAAAUAGAUCUUUUACGGAGGUUGCAGCUACAAGUUUAAUUUUAUAUUUUUGUUUUAUAGCCUAAUCAGAAUUUAAAUUUUUUUUUUUUUUUUUUAUAAGUGGGAGGUCUUGGGUUGCAAGAACUCCUACUUACAAUCCCCCUCCCUUACCAUCCAACUCAACCCUCCCCGCCAUCGCCUAAUCAGAUAAGUAAAAAAUAGUUAAUAAACAACAAACUUAUUUCCAAGAAGGAGGCAGAGGGCCGGGUUGGGAGGAACCAUCGCUUUAUCGGAAACACUCAGAGUACAAAACCACCACCACCACCAUCAUUUCCCAAAAAAAAAAAAAAAGGCUUCACAUGAUCUUUCAGGCUAAUCCACAAAAUGGGUAAAGCUGAUAAACCAAAAAAAACAAAAACAAAAUCCGUUCUUUCAUCAAAACCACAAGACCCAACUCAGAGUUGACCUAGAAGAUUCAAUAGAUACUCAUAAAGAUUCAAUCUUUGCACUAUCUACAAGUCAAUGAGUUCGACAAAAUCAAGUCUAUGGUGAAUUUUCAGUAAACAGCACAAGAGGAAUAAAAGGAAGGAGACCACAAGCAGAGACAUACCGAGCCAUGGGAGAAUGGAUGUGAUCAAAGGCAGCAAAAAGUGAAACAAAUGCCCCUUUUCUUCUACUAUUUAAUGCUUUGAAUUCGUACUGCAACUAGUGCUUCUACAGUUCUCCACCUACUAAUACAUUAACUAUUAAAGCAUCUUGGGAAUUUCCCAAAUAAUAGUAGUGUAGUUUAAGAGGUUUCAUAAGUGUUUUCAGUUUUCCUAGCCAUUAUAUACUGCUAUGUGCUUCGGACGCAUUUUUUGGUGAAUUUUGAAAAAUUUGAAAGCGUGUCUUGGCAUUGUUUCAGUCUACUUACUGUGCUUUGAGUACGACGAUGAUGGUUUGACUAUUGACUAGACAACCUGUGAUUAAUCAAUACCUACAGAAAAAUGGAAUUGAAAGUGGAAAAGGCCAUCAACCGACACUUAGUAGGAGUUUGGCCACUGAUUGUUUUAUACUAGGCCACAUGUUGUUUGAUUUAUGUUCAUCUCAAUAAUGCUAAAUUGAUUGUUGCCUUUUUUUUCUUAAUGCUAUUUUACAUCGUAAACAUGUUUUCGGCAACUGCUAAAUUGAUUGUUACGGUAUAUUUUUUUUUUUAUAAAUUAUUCAAAAUAAUCUCUUAUCGACACACACUCUCGGACUGUUUCUAAGAGCAUAAUGUUUUAUUUAUGAGAGGAAAAAGUCCAAAUUGUUCAAUACUUUCCCACAAAAUACUAGCAAUUUGAUAAAAAGUUUAAUACUUUGUUCUAGAUUGUUAGGUAAUACCACAAGAAUCAAACGUGUAAAGAAGGGCUCAAAGGUGGAUCAAAUUACUUGAUCCUUAAAUCAAGUUCGUUCAUUUUCUAUUUUCUAACUCGUUAAACAAAUCAUAAAGUAUUUGGUUAAGUUUCAAACCUCGCUAGAGUUUGGUUUGAUUAGCAUAAAUUUUGAAACAUAUAUAUAUAUAUAUAUAUCAAAUAUCUAUACUAUAUAAAAAGUUUGAGAAAGGGGUUUGGGAUUAACAUUUAUCAUCAUUUUAUAAACCUUCUUUUUUAUCCUUAUAAAAAUUACUUUUAUUUUAACUACCUAUAACUACUCAUGACUAUUUUUACUUUUAACUAUUUAAAUAUAUGUUUUAAACGUAACUAUUCCUACAUAUCAUAGCUACCAAUAUAAAAUUAUUAUAUAAAAUAUAUAUUUAAAAGAUUAAAGUUUGUUUUAGUAAUAACAAUUUUAUUUAAAACAUAACCGAUAAUAUUAUGUAGUUUUUGAUUGCACAUGCAUUAGUGUGUAUUGAGUAAUAGUUAAAUUUAGGGAUAAUUUCAGAAACCUCCCCUGAGGUUUUUGACAUUUACACUUACCUCCCCUGUGGUUUGAACAAUUACACUGACCUCCCCUGAGGUUACUAAUCCUUUACAAAUUCAGUCCAAAUGAUUAAAAUAUUAUUUUAGAGAGUGAAAUUAGAAUUUUGUACCUGAUUUGUCCUUUGUGUCACAUGUCCAAUGAAUGGCAAAGUAUUACAAAUUAAUUAACAAUUAAUAAACUUUAACGAGCGUAGUUUAUAGGCAAAUACGUAUUGCCUAUUUAAAGUACCAGCUCUUUACAUGAAUUUUAUUUUCAAGCAUUUACUUUAUCACAAAUAUUUAUUCUCAAAUACAGAUUUGUAUUUAUUCUCAAAUAUUUAAUUUUUGUUAAAUACAAAACCUACCAGUUUUUCUUCCGUAGAAAUAUUAAUAUAACAUUUUUUCAAUUUCAAUUACAAAUAUUUAUGUAUUUAACAUAAAUUAAAUGAUUCAGAAUAAAAUACUCAUAAAGAGCUAAUACUUUACUCAUGUAAUGGAUGAAAGCCAUAAAAAAUUAACAUUUUAUAGGCCAUUUCUUUUUUUUAAAAAAUUUUAAUUUAUAUUAAAUAGAUAGCCUAUCGAUUUUCUUUUUACAAGAAUAUUAUUGUAACACCUUUUAAUUUUUAAUUACAAAUAUUGAUAUAUUUAUUGUAAAUUAAAUAUUUAAAAAUAAAAUAACUGUAAAGAGCCGGUACUUUAAAUAAGUUAUGCGUGUUUGCCUAUAAACUACACUCCUUACUUAAAUCAAUAAACUACACUCCUUAACUUAAAUCAAUAAACUAUACUCCUUACUUUAAAUAGUGUAGUUUAUAGGCAAAUAUGCAUAUCCUAUUUAAAGUAUCGGCUCUUUACAGAUAUUUUAUUUUCAAAUAUUUAAUUUAUGAUAAAUAUAUUAACAUUUGUAAUUAAAAAUUAAAAAGUGUUAAAGUAAUAUUCUUGUAAAAAAAAUCAGUAGGUUAUCUAUUUAAUAUAAAUUAAAUAUUUUUAAAAAAAUAAAUGGCCUCAUAAACUAUUAAUUUUUUAUGACUUUCAUCCAUUACAUGAGUAAAGUAUUGGCUCUUUAUGGAUAUUUUAUCAUAAAUCAUUUAAUUUAUGUUAAAUACAUAAAUAUUUAUAACUAAAAUUGAAAAAGUGUUAUAUUAAUAUUUCUACGCAAGAAAAACUGGUAGGUUUUGUGUUUAACAAAAAUUAAAUAUUUGAGAGUAAAUACAAAUCUGUAUUUGAGAAUAAAUAUUUGUGAUAAAAUAAAUGUUUGAAAGUAAAAUACAUGUAAAGAACUGGUACUUUAAAUAGACAAUACGUAUUUGCCUAUAAACUACGCUCGUUAAAGUUUAUUAAUUGUUAAUUAAUUUGUAAUACUUUGCCAUUCAUUGGACAUGUGGCACAAAGGACAAAUCAGGUACAAAAUUCAAAUUUCACUUUCUAAAAUAAUAUUUUAAUCAUUUAGACUGAAUUUGUAAAGGAUUAAUAACCUCAGGGGAGGUCAGUGUAAUUGUUCAAACCACAGGGAAGGCAAGUGUAAAUGUCAGAAACCUCAGGGGAGAUUUCUGAAAUUAUCCCUUUAAUUUACUCAAACUCAGUUCGAUAAGAGUUCGAUUCAAUAAAUAAACAUAUCAAGUUUAAACAUAAUAUUCUUUCUUUGAGGAGAGAUUGAACAUAAUUUCAAGUUAAAUAAUAAUAAACAAAUAAGCUUGAACUCUUUCACUUCAGAUCAGUAAUGUAAAUGAUUUUAAUUAAAUCAAACACUUUUUUUUUUUUUUAAAUCGUUUACGCCACUUAUCUUAAGUGGAUACUACUAAAGCUAUUGGCAGUGGGCUGACUGUGAUGAUUUUUCUCACGCAAGCAAUUAUAUAAUAGCCCAUAGCAGUUAGCAUACACAAAAUUGGUCAAUUUGAAUUCCAAACAGACACAAAAUAAGCCCAGCAUAGUAAAUCGCCCAUAACCCCACAACAAGCUCUAUUAGGCUGACCACUGAUCCACUGCCAAAUUGCCACCUAACACAACUUAGCUCCGCUCUGCCCCCUGCGCAAAAACUCGGGGGUAAAAAAAAACCGCCACAACUCCGGCACCGUACGAUGAGCAGCAAAGCCCGUAAUUUCCGCCGCCGCGGCGGAGAUGACGCUGACGACGACGAAGACAACGACAAGAGUACCAGAACCCCCACCACCAACGGCUCCACCACCACAUCAUCAAAACCCCAAUUCAAAUCCAUUUCCUCCGCCACAAGACCUAAAAAACCGGUAACUGCAGUUCCCAAAAGCCGCCUGAGCUUCGCUGACGAUGAGGAAGCCGACGCCGACCAAUUGCCCAUUAAACCUCGUCCCUCUUCAUCAAACUCUCGUCUCCCCAGACCCUCUUCUUCUUCCUCUUCUCAUCAUAAGCUCAGCUCGUCUAAAGACCGAAUUGGGCCUCAAACGACGGCGUCGCUACCUUCCAAUGUGCAACCCCAAGCUGGAACUUACACCAAAGAAGCCCUCCUUGAGCUCCAGAAGAACACUAGAACCCUCGCCUCUUCCCGUUCAGCCCGGCCCGAACCUCCCAAAUCGAAGCCCGAAGUGACGCCCACUGAGCCCGUUAUCGUAUUGAAAGGGCUAGUGAAGCCAAAACCUAAUAUGGUUGAUGAUGCAGAUGGGGAAAUCGAGAAUGACGAGAUGGGUGUUGAGCAGCAAGGCGAUUUGGUGAGAACUGAGAGAGAUGAGGCAAAGUUUAGAUUGGGUUUGAGAGGGAAAAGUGAGGUUUCUGGGGGAGUCAUACCAGACCAGGCGACAAUAGACGCGAUAAGGGCAAAAAGAGAGAGGCUCAGGCAGGCAGGUCCCGCAGCCCAGGAUUAUAUAUCAUUGGAUGGAGGAAGUAAUCACGGUGAAGCCGAGGGGUUGAGCGAUGAGGAGCCAGAAUUUCGAGGGAGAAUCGGGUUUUUUGGAGCAAAAAUUGAUGGUGGGAAGAAGGGCGUGUUUGAGGAUUUUGAGGAGAGAGUAACGGCAAAGGAUAGCGCUGUUCUUAAUAGCGAUGAUGAGGAUGAGGAAGAAUUGGAAAAGUUGUGGGAAGAGGAGCAGGCAAGGAAAGGUUUGGGAUUAGGAAAGAGGCUAGAUGAUGGCGUUAGUGUAGGAGUCAGUAGUAGUACUGCUGGUGGUAGUAGUGUUAAUGUGCCUCAGAGUGUCCCUCAGCAGAAAUUUGGUUAUCCAAUCGUGGCCUCUGGUAGUGUAUAUUCUUCAGUGCAGAUUAGUUCUGUUGAUACUGUUGGUCCUAGUAUUGGGGGUGCUGUUGGGGGAUUGCCUGGAUCAGAUGAAAUGCCGAUAUCACAAAAAGCUGAGCUCGCUAAGAAAGUUUUGUAUGACAAUGUGAAGAUGCUUAAGGUAUGCAUUGGCAUUUAUUCCUAGUGUUUGUUUUGAAAUUUGAUUACUUAUUCUUUGUUUUAUAAGUUUAAGUAGGAUUUCUUCUGGAAAUACAGCAUUAUCAGUUUAAGUUGUAAAUUAGCUGUGAGAUUACCAUUGCAAGUAGAAAAACAAGAAUUACUGGAUAAAGCAUUUAAUUAAUAGUUUUCUGCUUCUGUCUUGACCAGUAUUAAUUUGGACAUUUAGAAGGUAUUUGAGUUUAAUACCAAUAUGUUGCUCUGAAGAAAAUGUUCAUUGGUGUUUACAAGUUUUAUUUUCUUCCCUCUGUUUAUGUAGUGAUUGCAACUGAUCUGUUAUUGUCUUUUGACUUAUCUUUUUCUUAGGAGUCUCAUAAGAAAACAAUGGAUACAUUAACAAGGAAUGAUGAAAAUCUAUCCGCUUCACUGUUGAAUGUCACCAAGCUGGAAAAUUCAUUAUCUGCUGCUGGUGAGAAGUUCAUCUUUAUGCAAAAGCUUCGUGAGUUUGUUUCUGUUAUAUGUGACUUUUUGCAGGUACGGAUUAUCUGAUUUAUCAAUCUCCAAUUUAUUUUGGUGCCCUCCAUAGUUGCCAAAUCUUAACGUGAUAGAUCAAUUAUGUUGUUCUCUUUAUUUGUUUUGCUACUGUCACUGAGCAUAAGUGACUGAAAGUAUGGAGAAUCUGUUGUCCUAACACCCCCCAUCUUUAUUUUUCGGUAUAUGUUAAAUCCUGUUGUUAGUUAUUAGGAGCUUUGAGGUUAUAACUACUUAGAUUGCUUCACUUCAGCCAUCUUUAGCUUCUCUUCCAAUUUUUCUGUCACUGUAUAGAUCCAAGUAGGUUUUGGUACUGAAGGAUCUAUAAAUAUUGUUAUUUUGGAGUUCUUAACUCAUAUGUUGGUUUACUGCUUUGAAUCAUGUUGUUUAACGUGCUACUUUUGUAAUUUUGAAGAUAAUUUUAUCAAUUUUGGAACUUUCAGAUUUUCUAGUGUCUUUUACAUGUAUGCUCUGUUAGUUGACGUAUAUUUAGUUCUUUUCUUUAUCAUCUAUCAAUUAAGACGAUGUAGAUGAGGUUGCGUUCUUCUCAUGGCAGUACAUGCUAUUUUUUCUCUUUCUAAAUUCAGGCGGAAUUAUGAACUGAGGUUCAUAAUAUUUAGGGCAGCAAUUGUGGAAGAGUUGGUUAUAUAGGUUGUCUUGUCUCCUUUAGUGUGAUGAUGAGCAUGAAAGUGGCAUAUAGAGAAUUAUUCUUUUUCAAAGAAUGUCUCAGGGACCCAUCUGAUGGUUUUUUUGACUGCUUAAAUUUUGAUGAUUCUGGGUGUCAAUUGUAUAUUCACCUCUUUCCUCAUUUAGUUUCAAUUUUCUUCUGUUGGCUUUGGAUAAUGUUCUCCUGUUUGGUAUCAUUGCCAUUGUGGAUUAUCUGCUGUUGUAGUGCUCCUCGUGCUCCCAAUAUUCAUGCAUACAUAUUCCUCCUCACUUUGAGCAGCAAUACAGACACUACUGCUUGCUUGUGAAUGAAGUCAUUGUGCAAUACAUAGAUAGAAGAAAGUUUUUUGAUCCUCAGUUGUUUUUCUCAAGUUGAAGAAUAUCUUCAUCUGUGCUAUAUUGUUAUUUUGUGAGUGAGCUGUGUGGAUUCAUACUGGAUGUAAAUUUGAGACUUCUCUUUUGGUUUAUGUGCUAUUCACUCUGUUGCAUUUUAUACGUCACUAUUUUGGUUUGUGUCAAAAAAGUUUCAAGAAAGUAUAUAAAGCCUAACUUGACCCUUUAUACAAAUCCUAAGAAAUAAUCGUAGGAGGCAUGUUGCCAUGAUAAAUAACAUUACAAACCAUCUCUUAACUAUGGUAGUUGUGCCUCAUGUAAAACUUCAAAUUCAACUAACAAAAUAUUGUUGUUCAAUUGAUGGGCAAUAAUGGGAACAGUUGCUUUGCUAGCUGAUGUAUUUUUGUCAUACUCUACUUUUCUUAAGUAUGCACAAAGUUGUCAAUGACAUAUAAUGUGGGUUGGAGAAGAAUUCUGUGGAUACUCUAGGGUUUUCUGGUUUAACAUCUUGCCCUUGCCCUGGUUACAUGUAGGAGUUUCCAUUACUUUCCUUGAAGGGCUUUGAGCAUUUUGUUUGGCUGUUUUCAUCUUUUGUUUCUUGUUCUUGGUCUACUCUGCUAGAUAGUGUUUUCUAAAUGUAACAUUAAUGUAAUUUUGAUCUGAUAUUAAUCUUGCUCUUUGCAGCAUAAGGCUCCUUUCAUUGAAGAACUUGAAGAUCAGAUGCAGAAGCUACACGAAGAAAGAGCAGCUGCAAUUCUAGAAAGAAGAAUCGCUGAUAAUAACGAUGAAAUGAAGGAAUUAGAACCAGCUGUGAGUGCAGCAAUGUCUGUUUUUCGUAAAGGUGGAAGCAGUGCAGCAAUGAUAGAAUCAGCUAUAAGUGCUGCUCAGGCUGCAUCUGCAGCUGCAAGAGAAUUAAGAGACUUACCUGUGGAGCUAGAUGAACUUGGCAGAGAUUUGAAUCUGCAGAAACGAAUGGAUUUAGCUAGGAGGGCAGAGGCUCGACAAUACAGGAAAGCUAAGUCAGAUUCAAAGAGAUUGUUGUCCAUGGAAAUUGACAGUCCUAAUCGGCCAAUGGAAGGGGAAUCAAGUACUGAUGAAAGUGACAGUGAGAGUACAGCUUAUCAGUCAAGUCGUAAUCAGUUGCUUCAGAUUUCUGAACAGAUCUUCAGUGAUGCAGCUGACGAUUAUGCUCAACUUUCAGCAGUUGUAGAAAGGUUUGAGAGAUGGAAAAAGGAGUAUGCUUCAAGCUACCGUGAUGCUUAUAUGUCACUAAGUGCGCCUACUAUUUUCACUCCUUAUGUAAGGCUUGAGCUUCUAAAGUGGGAUCCACUUCAUGAGGAUUCAGACUUUAUUCAUAUGAAAUGGUAUGGAGCGUCCAGUUGAAAUUUGGCUGUACAAUUUGAGCAACACUUUGAUUAAAUGCCUUUUUGUUUCAUGAUUCACUCUAAAAUAUUUUGCUGACUCCUGGCAAGGUUAAGGCCUCUGGGACCAGCACAAUUGUGCAGCCUCUUGCUUCUUCUUCUUCUUCUUUCUUUAUUAUUUUAUUCUGGCCUUCUUUGUUUACCCUUUUUUCCGUGAAUCAUGUCAUUUCAUUUAUACAUUAUUUUUAUCACUAAAAUUUUUUUUUUCUUGGGUCAACGAUGAAAAAAUUUUAAACAAACAAAAUCCUGUUACAAAUUAGCCAAACCAUGAUAAUGUAACUUAUAGAUGUGUUCUUAUUUUUCUGUUAGAUGUAGUACUUUCAUAUCGUGGAACUUGAAUGUCCAGUAACUAUUCUUUUUGGUGGAUUUGCUGGUCAACUGAAUCAAAUUACCUCGAGGUUGAAAAUUUUUUCUUGGCUUGACCCGCAUGGUUGCAACUGUAGUAGCUUUCUAGCUUCAAAUAUACAGUGGCUGUUGUCUGUAAUUCUGCUGUCCACUUCUAGAGCAGGGCAAUAAUUUUAGUGGGGGUUGUCUCUUUUAAAUGCUCGUAUCAUUUAAACAAGCAUGGUGGAAAUUUUUUGUGAGCUUGAUGAUUUCUACCAGUUAGCCAUGGUUAGGUAGACCACUGAAUGCAGAGAUAAAAGAGUAUGAGAUUAUUGACUUCACUUUUGUUGUAACGUGCUAAUGAAAGAGAAUGAGAUCUUUUUGUUUUGGCUUUUUUUUUUUUUUUUUUAUGAUGCUGAGUCUAUCAUCUCUCCUACUUUCAGGCACUCCUUGUUAUUUGAUUAUGGUCCAGAAGAUGAUGCUGACGCCAACCUUAUUCCGGAACUAGUAGAGAAACUGGCAAUUCCAAUUUUGCAUCACCAGUUAGUAUACUGCUGGGACAUGCUUAGUACACGUGAAACAGAGUACGCUGUUUCUGCUACAAACUUGGUCUUAGGAUAUGUUCCUCCAUCCAGUUUGGCACUUGGGAACUUAGUAGCUGCACUUCGAGACCGCCUGGCUGAUGCUGUGACCAAUUUGAUGGUAUUUCUUAUCUCCUUUUUGGAUUAUCAUUUGCAGAGUAUAUCAACUAGUACUUGUCUUUCCUUAAAUAUUAUAUUCUUACUAAAAGGAUAUAAGUUUAUAGGUGCCAACGUGGAACACACUUGUAUUAAAAGCUGUACCAAACGCGGCAAGAGCUGCAGCGUACAGAUUUGGUGUGUCUGUUCGUUUGAUGAAGAACAUAUGUCGAUGGCAUAAGGUUCUUGCAAGGCCAGUAUUGGAAAAGCUUGCUCUGGAUGAACUGUUAAUUGGCAAGAUUCUUCCUCAUCUUCGAAGCAUUGAAUCAAACAUUCACGAUGCAGUUACAAGAACAGAGAGAGUUGUUGCCUCCUUAGAUGGGGUCUGGGCUGGUCCAAGUGUUACUGGGGAUCGCAGGUACUUGUUUCUUCAAGUGAAAAGUGUCAUUCUCUUGGUUUAAAAUGGAAGUAUGUCUAAGAUGCUACUGAAGAAUUGUGAAAGAAGCUUUUAAGUUAAAUUUUCAAGUUUUACCAAAUCUUAGGAUCACAGAAAAAUAAUUCUUAAAGUUGAGUUUGCUUUUGAGAUAGCAUCUUUGCUUGAUCUCACUUGCUAUUUGGUCAGGCACGAUUGCAAAAAUAUGAUUUACAUAUUUAUCCUUGCCACUACAAACAAUACAGACCUACAUGCUCCUCCUGUAUCAAGCCUGAAAUUAAGGUGGAUUUAGAAAAUACAAUAGAUAAAGGGAAAAGUGGGGAAACAUAGUUGCCAGUUUGCUUGGGUUUUGUAGUGGCUUAGUAUGUGGGCAAUUGCCUCUCUCUAUAUACAGCAUUCACUAAGUGUAUAAAUUGUAGCAAAACUUUCUGUUUGUGCUGAAGUGACAUAUUUCAGAGGGACAGAUGGUCUUACGUGGCAUGGGUAUUUAGUGUGUGGAGGAGGUAGAGAGGAAAAGUAGGGAAGUUUGGUAAGAGAUGAAAGCCUUGUGAAAUGCUAAGCCAGGAAAAGCCCUGUGUUCAAGCAUAUAAAAGAAAGUUAACUUUAUGGGCUAAUAUCUGUAUCUGGAUGGUUUCAUCUCAUGAGGACCCUUCUGAGUCAAUCCUUUUAAUGAAAAUGAUUAGAGUUGGACAUGAUUCCAACUUGACAUUCAAAACUCUCUGAAUGCUCACCCUAAAUUGUCCAGUGCAACCUUGAGGUUCAAGGUCAUUCAUUCAUUAAAAUGUUUUUUUUUUUUUUGGGAUACUAUGUUGCCAGUUAUUUAGUUCUCUAUUUAUUGCAUGUGGUACGCGCAUCUUUUUCUCCAUGGCUUUCAAUAGCAUGUGGCUUUCAAUGGCAUGUUGCAUGUAAAUUAGUGAUGAAUUUUUGAAGGCCUUGCGUUGUCACCUGACUAAUUUCCUUUGCCCCAUGAUACAAGUCAGCAAUGGACUGUUACCCUACUUCUCAUAUGAGUAAACUCACUGUAUCCUCACUAUGCUUGUAGCCCAAAACUGCUGCCACUGGUGGAAUUUUUGCUAUCACUUGGAAGGACGCUGGAGAAGAGGCAUGUUUCUGGUGGGAUUCAGACAGAAACUGCUAAACUUGCUCGCCGAUUGAAGAAGAUGCUUGUGGAGCUAAAUGAGUACGACCAAGCUAGGGCAAUAUUAAGAACCUUUAGUCUCAAGGAGGCGUUGUGACUCCCUUAUCUCCGAUGUCUAAUUGUCCCUCUUGCUCCUCCUCUGUCUAAUGGUUCCCCCUUGCUUGUACAUUUAAUGGUUUCAAGGACUUGGGGAGCUAACAUCAGCUCUUGCUUAGGAAAGUUCAUAAAGCACAAUUUUGAAAAGAAUGAGAUUCCUUGAUACACCGAGUUAGCAUAGUCUUUGAAUUAGAUGCCCUUGGCCCCCCCUCUGGUGGCCCAGGUAAUGCAUUUUGUGUUACGUUAGCUUAUGUUUUGCUUCGAGCUGAGGCUCUGGUGCCCCCUCUCUUCUCCAUCAGUAUGAAAACCCUAUGAAUUAUUGGUUUCGUGUUAUAGUCACGGAGAAACCAAAAGAUGAGCUCUUAUCAAGAACCCCAAUUCCGGCCCCUUUCGAUUCGUCGUCUUUCUAUCAAGAUCCAUAUGAAGUAUCGAUUUCACGUUUUGUCUGGACAUGGAAGGCCUUUUCUUUUCUCGUGUAUUCUAAUGAGAAUGCAGCCCUUGUAACUUUGUUUUUAAGGUUCGGCAACUGGAACUUUUUGGUGGCUCUUGCGGAUUGUUUGGUUAAUUAGCAGAUUUAUGUUUGUUUUUUUUUUGGGUUUUUGGGGGUUGGGGGUCAUAAUAAACUUCCGUUUUGAGCUGUCUUUUAGAAAAGAUUAGGCCUGACGGUCCCAGCUCUAACUUCUAGUUGAAUGUCAAACUUUGUGUUUCCAUUUAGUAUUGGGAUCCCAGAAAGGCUUUGAUUUCAGAGGAGGCCAAACAUGCUGCCGAAAGCCCCACUUUGAAUAUCAUGUGGAAGUUGGAAUUCAACUACUACUACAACUAAAAUGGAUCACCUUUUGGGACAAAUGAGAUUAGUUUAGCUUUCACAUUAGGAUACUUCUGCAGUCGUAGAAAAUUCAUGUUCAAUUAUCUUUGGUCCACCAAACCUGUAGCAAAUCGCUUGCUAAUCUAUUAAUAAAAGAACCAGUCAACUGCUUUGUAUAUGAGUAGGUUUAACCACGACUGCAGGAACCAAUACCUAAAUGACCUACUAUGUUGGUUGAGAUGCAAAUACGAAGUAUAGACUCAUGCAUGCAGGACAUGGAGCUUCUUUUUUCGGAGAACCUACUUUAAUUUGGGUAUUAAUGCAGUAUAUUCGAGUGAAACUGAAUUCAAUUGAUUAGUCAUUGCAUUUACCAUAAUGUUUUGGAAUAUGGGUCGCAAAAUCAUUUGAGAUUUGUGCUAACCAUUUCAGGAAAAAGAAAAACAAAAUGAUACCCUGGUUAACUUGAAGCUGAAAAGUUGAGAUGCCAUCUAAGUUUGGGGAAUUGGGAGUUGAAGUUCAAAAACUCUAUCGACUUUUUUAUGCAAACAAAUUAUUAUUAGUAGUAUAACUUCGUGGUUUCUUAUUUAGUGCAUCCAAAACAGAAGUAAAAAUUUUGCUGGAAAACGAACCUAUAGGCUGUAACUGAAGUCGUUUGGUAAAUUUUUCAUAUUAUGCACAAAAGUAGAGGCAAUUCUUGAGUCCUACGUAAUUUUACGAGGGAACUGCUGAGUGUUGACUACAACAGGUGCUGUCUUAUUUUGUGGGCUUUCGAAUUUCGAUGCGGGUUAUACUCUGUAAUAUUUGGAGUUAAAUGCGGACCAGAGCUGGCGAAAAUUAAAACUCACGCCUACCAAUGCAUUACGAAUUUUGGCCAUGACAAUUUAUGGACGCUCAGCGUUUAAGUCAAACGCGAAUGUGUGUAACUGAUGAAAGAAAUUUGUGUCAAAUUUUUUGAAAAUAUCGAAAAUUAUUUUCAAGAGAAAUUAUAAUAGUAAACAUACAGAAAAUUCACUAAAAUAAAAUGUAAAAAUAAAUAAUUAUUUGGUAGUAAUUCAUAAUCACAAUUGAUAAUUGCUAAUAAAAGUUAAGGUAUAUUAAAUAAGUUGAAAAAUAAAAUAAUAAGAAAUACAUAUUAAUUGGAGGAAAGAUAUAUUGAAACUUGGGAGUGGAUAGUUUUCAAGGGUAAUUUAGAAAGAACAUAAAAUGACACAAAGAAGUUUAUACUAACCCCCUCCUUUCUCUUUGUACAUAAAAUAGAUGAUGGGAAGGUUUGUAAAAGUAAUAUAUAAAAAGAAAGUGAAUAUUGUGCCUCACUCAUCAAAUUGACUGCCUCUUUUCCUCGAAGAACAUAGGGGAAACACAUGGAAUUUACACCUACAAAUAAAGAUAUGAUGAAAUUACCAAAAAAAAAAAGUGAGUUUGAAGUAAAUAAAGUUGUAAACUACAGGAAGUGACAUGUUAAACUCUUUCGAGUGGUAACACAAUAAUAUGUUGAUAGUAGAAUGGUCCCUCCAAAAAGGGAAAAAGGUCGAAUGGUUGGUUGAUAUAUUUCCCACUAGGUGGGUGCUAAAUAAUUGUUAACAUGUACUAAAGGUAGCUGAUUAGAAGGGGAAGGGCAUCAAAGGGCGUUCCCUAGUUAGACCAUGUAAACUUGGAUUGAGAUUGAGAACCGAAAUGUUUCGUUGUUUCGAGUUACAUGUAAUUGAUAUAGCACUGAGGGAAGUAGCGCAACAGAUCUUCUGUUUCACUCUAUGUUCUCAAGAUUCAAUCACUAUUAAUCGAGUAAAAAAGAAUUAAAAAUAUGAUGUUUAUGAAGGAAAAAUAUCAAUAUAAUAAAAAGUGAGAUAGAAAGUGACAUAAGUGAGACAAAAGAUCUAUUGUAGUUAAAGGGUGUAAGUGAGAAGUAUUGAAUUCGAUCAUUUCUAUUUACGCCUAAAAAUUUUUUAAAAAAUUUAAAAAGUUUAAAAAAUUGACAUAGUAUUAGUUUUAGCUUUCGAAUUGCGACAAGUACAUAACUUCAAUUAACCAUUGUCCAAAACAACUAAGCUGGUGUUGUUCGGUAAAACAAAUCGAAGUGUAACUACUCACGUAGUUGCAUUAUUACACCAUUGCUAGUUACAAAAUAUAAAUAGUGUUUUGAUAAGAAAUUAGUUGAAAUAAUUAUUGUAAUAUUUUUUAUGAUAUGAUGUAUGUGAGAUAAAAAGAUAAUUAAAAAAAUAAAAAAAAACAUGUUAAAAAUUGUGUUUCUGAUGCAAAUAAACAACUUUUUGCGAGAUCUAAUCUACUUGCAUGGACAAGCAAAUAAAAUGUAAUUGUACAAACAAUUUCUCGUGUUAUGAUAAAAACAUAAUAAUAAUUGAAGACAUUUGUUGGAUUCUCCUAUCUUCACCGGUAUGCAAAUGUGGGCCACAACACUAGAAUCUAGAAUUCCAUCCAAAUCCAACAAAAAUGUUGGCCUAACUCUUUCCACAAGUCUCCACUCUCCAUGUCAAGGACAGUCUACCCUCUCACGAGAAUAUUUAUUCAGAUAAAGGACAUGCCAAUUACAACUUAAAUAGAAGGCCUGUCAAAACUAAAUGAAUGUUAGCCCUCACCAACAAAAUCAAUUUGACUUUUAUCCCCAAAACUGAGAAAACAUAGCCCAACACGAGAAUUUUUUAAGCACAUACAUGUGGGAUUUUUUGAAGCACUUGCUAUUACGCUUAAAUUAUUAUAUGAAUGCUCCUUUUCUCUCAAAUUGCAAAACAACGUUUCUAUAAUUUGUUCAAGUUCAAAAAUCAUAACCUGUGAAAUGGGAUUGCUAUUUUUAGGAGUUUUUUUAAUAAAAAAAUGUAAUGUAAAAAUUUGAUGUAUAUGAGGUAAAAAAAAUAAUAAAAAAUAUAUUCACAGAAAACAUAAUUUUUUUUUUACUAAAAAUCACAAUCCAAACAAGGCCAACAGAAUGGUUAAAUUCUGUUUAUUUCUACUACAUAGUUGAUCCAUGAUUGUAUUAGUAUCUACCUAUUAUAUAAGAAAAAAGCCAAGUUACUAUAGCACCCCAUCUUUUUGACACAUGUAUUGCAUAUAUUUUUGACAAGUGGAUUCUUGGUCAUUUUAGCUAAACUUUUCCUUCCCCUUUUUGAUUCAAUUGGGCCAAAAUAAUUAAAAUGUUUUUUCUCUGAGCCAAGUUACUAUAGCACCCCAUCUUUUUUACACAUGUAUUGCACAUAUUUUUGACAAGUGGAUUCUUGGUCAUUUUAGCUAAAUUUUUCCUUCCCUUUUUUGAUUCAAUUGGGCCAAAAUAAUUAAAAUAUUUUUUCUCCUUCAGAAAAUCAACUAUGUCGCUUCUUCUUCUUCUUGCGGUAAGUGCUAUUAUUUUUUAUUUUUUAAAACUAAUCUAACUAAAAUUGUUGCCAUGUUCUUUUUUUUUCGUCGAGAUGAUUAGCUACUUAACAAAGAGAAGUUUUUAUUAUUUUUUUAUCCCAUUUUACAUUUUCUUUUCUUCCUUUUUUUUCUUCAUGUCUAAUCUCUCAUAUUUGCUCUAUUCUUCGAUCAUAAUGUUAUAGUCAACUGGCAUUUGUUUGUUAAAUUUAUAGGAUGAUGCUAUUAUUUGGUAAUUUUCAUGGAUAAAAGGUGAAAUAUUAAAAUAUGUAAAAAGAUCUUAAAAUUCAUUUUAUACCAAUGAUCAUUUUCUAUGAAGAAUAGAACAAUAAUUCUUUCUUUUCUUAUCUCCUCCCACGAUUUGAUUUCUUACUUCACAUUUUUUUUUCUUUUUCUUUGUUUUUUGGUUACAUUUUGUAAUUAUCUACAAUUUUGUGUAUUUUUUAAAGAGAAAAGAUAUAUCAUGUGAUGCUUCCACCAAGAUAAAUCUAGUUAGGCAUUCUUCUACUUCUGUAUUCUAUAAGAUUUUGUAUAUAUUUAAACUAACGUUAAUUUUUAUUUUUUUUAAUUAUUCAGGUUAUGUAGUAUCAAUUGGGUUGGCAUAUAAAAAUUGUAGUUGGUGGUAGAAGUCAAAAUUAAAAAUUAUUAGAAAAUUCAAUUUUGAUUAGGAAGAUGUUUUUGCAAUAAAAAAAAUGGUUCAAUUCUAAUUUGUAUAUGUAGAUCUGGAAACGUAGCAAUUCAUAUUUUUUAUCUAACCUUGCUAUUUAUAUUCUGGAGCUGCAGGAUAAUGUUGUCACCUUUAAACGGGAUUUAAAUAAAUAAAGAAAGAAAAAUGUGAAACUUUAAAGUAAGUUAUAUUGAUGUUGAAGAUUGUGACAUGUCUUAGUGGCUUUCUAAACUUUUUCUCAUUAUUAAAAAACUGGAAGCAUUAUGAUUGCUUUUGAUUUAGUUACAACUAAGACUAUGCUGCUAAUUAAUACAGCAAUGCACUUGUAGUGUAUUGAUUUUCUCUUUUUUUUGGGUAUUAUCAUAAUAAUAGUUCAAAAAUCUUUAUUCAAAUCACAAUAAAUAGGGGUAUUAACUUCAUAGAUGGAAUUUCUCUUCACAACAAAUUUUGAGGGAAAUUUUAUUUAUACUCCAUAUUUUAUUAAUUGUAUUCCUACAAUAAAUAAAAACUAUAUGAUAAAAAUAAUAGUGAAAAUAUGAUUAACAAAAAUGAGAGUUCAAAUAACAUUUGUUAAUUUUAAUUGUUUUGAGGUCCAAUUUUCUCCUAUAUUUCUAUUGAUUUAUCAUGUGCCAAAAUAAUUUGAUGUUAUGUGCUUGAUUAUAUUUCUAGGGGCCAAGCUAUGCUUUGCAAGUACCUCUAGUGUACUAACUAAAAAGGUGGCCAAUUACACGACAGCUGCAGUGGGUUUGCUUCUCACAUUAUCACACGACAGCUGCAGGCUGCAGAAUGUGCAUACUCUUGCAUGGAUUAUAUGUGACAGCCCCACCUCACCCUAAGGCGAAACAAAGGGUUCAGCGGACCGCCUGCCCAGCUCUCGCCAGGAUUACGGAGUCGAAUCACACAAAUCCGAUAUUACGCGAGAGGACCCAAAAUAAAUGAGCGAUUGAAGACCGCCAAGCUUAAACAUGGGGAAAACGCUUUCAUAUAUACAUGUCACUAGGUUUACAAUUCAAAUGGAACCAGUGAAACGAAAUACAUUUAGGGUUUGCUCAUUCUCGAGGAGCUAUACAAAAGAACAAAAGAUUUUCUAACUAGCUCAACUCGCUUCUCAAAAUCAUGAUUUCCAAAAGAGGUUCCAGUAAGGAAAACAAAGAUAACGAGGAGGGGGUGAGCUUACGCCCAAUGAGGUACCAAACAUAUAGCAGAAAAAUCAGGUAUUUCACGUUAUACAAACCAGAUACACAUGCUCGCUAUAAAGUAAGACAGGUAAACACAAGAACUCAAAUAGGAAGGAUACAGGUGGCUCUCAGGAGCCAGCUUUCCAGCGUAGUACUUGAUCCAAGCCGGUCGACUCUCCAUCAACGUAUAUAGAACCAACACGUCCGUAGACCCCACUUUACACCAAAUUCCGUCCACCAAACACCCCUUUACCGGGCCCGCUCACCUCAACAGAAACAGAAAGGGUAAUACUCGAGUAUACCGGAAUCAAGAGUCUCAAUACCCAAAGAUCCCAAAACAGACUACCGUGGUUCGUUAUCUAAUCGUCCAGGCCCUUGCCGGCCCGACUCGAAUAACUUAGCCACAGGAUUUGAGCUCAUAAGUCACAGAAAGGUCGUUGGUUACAAGUUUCCAAACGACGUCCGAACAGAUACAGAUACAGAUACAGAUACAGAUAUCAGAUACACAGAUUCAGAUUGACACCAAAAUUGGCAUAUGAACAGACAAGAGAACGAGUGUGAUAAAGUACACCCUCGUCUCAAACAAAUUAAACAGAUUGCAGAGCAGAAAUCAAGUUAAACAGCAAUGGAGGGGAGUGGUACACUCACCGGUUCAAGUACAAAUACCUCAAAAGUUUUCACUUCGGAUUGGCUUUAAUCGCCAAGAAACCCUAAAAUAAUCAAAAUAAACCAAUUGAAGGUUUCACAUCCAGAAUCGAGUAAACAAAAUACACAUGUGAGGCUCGACUACUAGUCGUAUGCCUCGCCAAAUAAUUACUAAUGCAAGGGUACAAAACAUGAUUUUUGGGAAUAAAAAGGUAACAUGAAGACCUAGGUUCAACAACCCAAAAGUCCUUCAUUUCUAUCACAAGCCAAUUCAAACUUAAAGGAACCAAUUGGCCUAGAAAAAAUUGGACAGCACUUCCCCUAAAUUUCUUACUUUUCCAGCCAUCACGGCUUCAUUAUUUUCCUCAAUCAACUCCCAAAGUCAUACUCAAUAUACACUCAUCACCACAGCCGUUCAAUAGGCUCAAGGUUAUCCAAGUACAAAAGUUAGUUAGGAAAAUGACCGGAAAUAAAAGUCAAGCCCUAGAAUAUUCCACUAAGCACAAGAAGACUCGAUUACAAGUCAUAAACCGAUGCCAACACGAUCACAAUAGGGUUCCAUAAGCAUAUAUAAGCAUUAGAGGAAACCAGAAAUUUCGGAAAUGUAACUAGCUUUGGCCCUGAAAAAUAGUUUUUGUCCUCAUUUUGCGGUAAUGGCACAAAUUUCACUACGCUUAUCGGAUGAGGGUGCAAGACCACCACCAUCUCGAAGCUAAAAGACAGGGCUACAACAUCACAGAAGGUCACUCAACCCAGUUUUGAGUGCAAACAGGUCAAAAAUGCAAGAUACUACAUCAACAACGUAAAACAGAUUCACCAAAACGCAUUCUAGUGGAAACAUCAUAACUCAGGCUCUACAAGUCCAAAUCCAGAAAUUCCAAAACCAUCUGAAAGCUAAGCAACAGGGAUAAAUUUCAUCAGAAGGUCUCAACAACCAAUUCGGAAGCAAUUCCAGGAAAAACAACCAAUUACAGGCGCAGUUCUCAAUUUCGGGUAAAACCAGAACAGCAAUAGUAAUUUCGACUUAUCUCAUUCUACUCUACUCCGAUUGACCUGAAAUUUUGUAGGAACCUCUAAAAUGUCAUUCCCUACAACUUUCAUGUUUUGAGCUAAGGCCAAUUCGGCCUCUAUCUAGGACCUAAAAAUUCGGACAGAAUGCUCCCACAAGAACCCUAAUUUUCUGAAAUUUCUUCCAAAACAGAAAUUGAUUGCAAUUGUCCACUUUUUUCACCUUCUAGAAUCAUUAUAUACCAUUUCCAAUCAUCAUAGAUAGCCACACAAUCAUGCUUAUAUUAAAACAGAAAAAUCCCCAAAAAUAAUAAAACUUCAUCAUUUCAACCACAAAUCAAAAAUUAAUCCAUAAACUUGCAUCUUAUACUACCACUAAGCAUGAUUUAAGCAUCAAUUAAAGGAGGAGGGUGGUUCUUCACAACUUACCUUAGAAACAAGAGAGAGAGAGCUAUUGGUCACCUUAACUUUCCAAAAAACUUCACACAACAACUCACCAACACUUCCUUAAGUGGUUUUAUGGAGCAAAAUCAAGGUUGGAUGGUUGGUUUUGGUGAUUUGGAACAAGAUUGAAGUGUUUUCUUCCUUGUGCUUGGAGUAAGAGAGAGAGAGAAAGAGAGCAAGAGAGGGCCGACUUCAAGGAGGAUUUUUUUGAGGAUUUUUGGGUCAAUUUUGGUUAUUUAAGUCAAUGGUAAGAAAGGUUUUAAGGUAAGCCCAAUCAAAUGGUGACACUUGUCACCUUUUAUUAACUCUCUACCUAACUUGUCUCUCUCAUAUCAAUCCAAAUUGCACCCUCCACUUAUCUCUUAACACCCGGUAAAUUCAUUCAAGUAUUCAAAACUUAAUCUAGUUGGCCGAAUUUUUCCGAACUUUUCGCACUAGUGGGUCCCACGUCCGAUAUACGCUUUUAAUUCCUCAAAAGCUAACCGAUACUAGAAAAAUCAUUUAAAAGCUAUAUUUACUCAUAAAAUUUAUUUGCACAAUGUUUCGAAUAAAGAAAAGGUGGAAAAACGUAUAAUUAAAAGAAAUUAAAACCUAGAAAUUAAGAAAAUUACGGGUCCUUACACUAUAUGCUUUGCAUGGACGGAAUAUAUAUAUAGUCUUAUUCUAUGACGGAAAAUCUAUGAAUUUCUGACCUGUACGAUAAGCAAAUGUGCGACACAGCACUAGAAUUUCAGCCAACAAAUGUCAUUCAGAUGAAGGACAUUCCACCAUACGAGUUUCAACCGCAUGUUUAUACCAUCAAAAUUCGAUCCACAACUUUACUGAUGCAGUGCAUGAUCGAGUGUACGAGUAUCCUUAUCUUAUGUAGCUGUAUGGCCUGCUUCACCAUGGUUUCAAUACAAAUUUCUAGUAAAUUACACGCCAAUACGAUCAUAAUUGGAUGGUAGUGUAAUAUCUACUAUAUGGUUAUCAUUUGAUGAUAGUCGGUUCAGAUUUCUAUCAUAUUCUUUUGGACUAUUAAUCUAUGAUUAAAUUUUAUAUACAUUAAACUGACAAUAUUUACACUAUCAUAAUUAGAUGUAUGAUACAUAUAUGCAAAAUUUGAAUUAUAUGUCAUGCAUCAUGUGGUGAAAUUGUAUACACUGUCAGUCUAUAGAAGAUUAAUCCUUAAUUUAUUACGAACAUUUUUCUUAAAAUUUUUGGUUGGUAAAAGUCAUUACUUACACAAAAUUUGACCAAGGGAUCUCGAGACUUCUUAGUUGCAGUUACAACCACAAAGUACAAGAGCUUGUUUAAAUUGUUAUUUUUUGAAAUUUUUAUAGAAAAAUAUAAUAUUAUAACAAUUUGAUGUAUGUAAAGUAAAAUGACAAGUAUUUAAAAAAUAUGUUUAUGAAAAGUGUAAAACUGAAAAAUGCUAAUUCAAACGAGGCUAUUGAGCUAAAAUGAUGAUAAAGACGGUAAGCUUGUCUACCAUCACAAUUUUAGCACAUAGAGGUUAGAAGAGUUGGUGCAUAUAGUCCUUGCAACCCUAAUUAGGUGGGUAAAUCAAGACCUAGGCUGCGGUUUUGGUUAGGUCAAAAUUAACACAACCAUUGACCUCCUGAAAUUAAUUGCUUUUUGAGGAUUUGAUGAACUAAUAUUAAGUUUGCAACGAAACCUGUUUCAGUCAUUCGUUGAUCCCAGCUGCCCCACCAGACCUCCACUUUCCCAUCCACACUUCCCCUACCAAUAGGAUUACACCUUUCCUUUCACGAGCUCAUUCUGCUGCUCUCAGCAUUCAUUCUUUCAUCCCGUGAAUCGCGACGCAUAAAGAAAUAUCAUGACCGUCAGUUUCGGUGACUGAAGAAAGGAAAGGAAAGAGAAGUUUAAUCCGAACGGUGGAUGGGCGGCGGCUACAAAGUUUUACCCGUGAAACCACCACCACGAGAUCUCCGCCCCCUCUCAUAAAGAAUCACAGGAGCAGAGACGCGGCUUUCCAGCCUGGACUCCUUUCAAUUUAUUCCAUCGCUGUCACCUAUCUCGAUCAAUCCAUGGUCCCACCUUGGCUUUCAAAAUUGCAUACAACCCGGUAUACGUCUAGGCCCUGUAAAUACCUAAGCUACCCUUUCACGAAUUUUUAAAAUUUUUUUCUUUUCUUUUAAUUAUUUAAACUUUUUUUUUUUAUGCUUCAAAAGGAUUGUGGGUUAGUAGGAAGUAAAUCAUCCAAAAACUCUCACCGUACUAAGAAAGCAAAAUAUUAUCCGAAAAUGUUCAAAAUUUAGGUGUUGUUUAAAGAUUGGUUCUUGAUAAUUGCAAUUAUCUUCCAUUCUUAUCCAUUAACCAAAAUGUUAAUGGAACUUUCGUACUACAAUGUCUUAACAAAAAUAUUUCUUAUCUAAAUUUGUAACUGACUACUUGGUCACGCUAGCUACAUCAAUAAAGAUUUUCACCAAAUUCUCACAAUCAAAUGCUCGUAUGAAUGCCAAAGGUCUUUAUUAUUUUGUUAGAUAGGACGAGCUACUCAUAUAUUGACCAUGUAAAUGUAUUGAUCAUGUAACUGAAUGUUAUUCCUUAUAUAACAUUUGUUAUGAGGCAAGGUUUUAGGCCCCUCUUCUAUUUAAUAAAUUAAUUAAUGGUUACCAUCCUUAUUUCAUGUAUGACAUUUUAUCAAAUAAAAAAAAACUUAUAUUUUAUUUCUCAACUUUUGUUCCUUUGGCUUCUAUAUCAGAUUAAAUAUUGGAUGUAACGCAAUUCUCUUGGAUACUUUUCGCCUAUUACUACUUCGGCUUCUACCUUUUGUUGAGCUUUUCACUAUUGGUUUCUAAUUAUCUUGUAUAAUACUUGUUCCACUUCUGCCAACAAAACUAAAAAAAGAAUGUCAACUAUUUGCAUAAAAAAUCAUAUCAAGUUUGUUUACUCUAUCCGCACUUUGUUUUGUACCGUAUUUGAAGCCAAAUGUGAUUGAAUUUUUAUUUUACUCCUGAUUUUUCUAUCAAAGAUAUGUUUAUAAUUCAUUUAACAAGCUCACAUGAGGUGGCAAAAUGACUUAAAAUGUUUAUUAAAUAAAUACAUAUACUAGCAUAAGAUUGAGGCAAAUGAUUUAUUCGAGAACCCUUUUAAAAAAAAAAAAAUUUUUUUUUCACAGCAAAUCUCUAGCAAAAUAACAAUUGUAUCCUUCAAUAUUCAAAAGUUGAAUGCACUUUGAAAAGAGUAAAAUUGUCAUUUCAAAGAAAUUAGCAAUGGCAUUAAAAACAUGGACUACGAUAUUAAAGCUAUCCUAAUUGACUGUCAUUAUAUGCUACAAUCAUUUUGUUGAUUGAUCUGCUAGUACAAGUAUUAGAGUAUCUAUAGUAGGAGAAUAAAUUCAUUCUCCACCUCAUUUACAAAUUCAAAAAAAAAAAAAAUCUAACCCGGGCUAAGAAGGUCAUUUCAUAUUGAUAUGUUUACUUUUCCAUUUAUUUUUUAUCCCCACACUUUCGUACUCGGACAGUUGGACUUCCAUACUCAUCCUCUUAUGACUUUAAUCUCUGAUCUCCCAUGACCACUCUCCCAAAACAGCCAAACUCCUCCAAUACCUCCUCUUCCCACCACCGCCAUCGCUCCCACAAUGCCACCUGACACCAGAACCACCGCACUCCUCCUCCUCACCAUCCUCCUCCUCCUCCUCAGCUCCCACACUCCCUCCACCGCAGACCUCCCGCAAUUUCGGGAAGCCCCAGCAUUCCGCAACGGCCAGCACUGCCCAAUCUCCACAUGGCCCUCCAACCCACACGACCCUUCCACCAUCCACGUCGCCAUGACACUUGACUACUCCACGCCAUACCUCCGUGGCUCCAUCGCCGCGGUCUUCUCAGUCCUCCAGCACUCCACCUGCCCAGAAAACACCUUCUUCCACUUCCUCACCACCACCCGCCACCGCCAUUUCCAAGGCCUCAACUCCACCAUCACCUCCACUUUCCCCUACCUCCGUUACCAUCUCUACCACUUCUCCCCCGCCUUAGUCAACCACCUCAUCUCCUCCUCCAUCCGCACCGCCCUCGACCAACCCUUGAAUUACGCCCGCAUUUACCUCGCCGACCUCCUUCCCUCCACCGUCAACCGCAUUAUAUACCUCGACUCUGACCUCAUCAUCAUCGAUGACAUCUCCAAGCUCUGGAAAAUCAAUCUCUCCGCGCAUAUUCUCGGCGCCCCCGAAUAUUGCCACGCAAAUUUCACCAACUAUUUCACUCCCAAAUUUUGGUCCAACAGAUAUGUCUCCAGCACUUUUAAUAACCGUGCCACAUGUUAUUUCAACACAGGGGUUAUGGUGAUGGAUUUAACGAAAUGGAGAACAAAUGGGUGCACGAGAAAACUGGAGCAUUGGAUGAGGAUUCAAAAGAAGUAUAGAAUUUAUGAGCUGGGCUCAUUGCCGCCGUUUUUGUUGGUUUUCGCCGGGAAUGUCGAGGGGGUUGAGCACAGAUGGAAUCAACAUGGACUCGGGGGGGAUAAUCUCGAAGGUUUGUGUAGAGAUUUGCAUCCGGGUCCCGUUAGUUUGCUGCAUUGGAGCGGAAAAGGGAAGCCGUGGUUGAGAUUGGACUCGAAGAAACCUUGUCCGUUGGAUAGCCUUUGGGCUCCGUACGAUUUGUUUAAACAUCGGCCAUUGAUCUCCGAUAGUUGAUGAUGCUGGUCGUAGGAGAUUGUUGCCCCGUGACCGUGAGUGAGUAAUUGGGAUGGAAACAGGUGAGGAGAGAAUGAAAAAGGAGAAAUGAGGACAGAACAGAUAGAUUUAUGGUGACGUGAGAGGAAGAAUACUUUUGGGGUUUUGGUGGAAUGUUGUGGCGGAGCUCUGGUGUGGUACUGUCGGUGGGUUUUUCUUGGCCGUCCGAUGUGAGAGAUCAGGACGGUAAGAUUUGGUGGUGGUGGUUUGGGAAUGAGGAUAUGAUGGGUGCAUUGUGAUGCUGGGUCCUAUUUUUUGGGAGUGGUUGGAUUCCAUGUUGCUAUCAGAGUUUGUUUUGUUUUCUUGGUGGCAGUGGAGGUGGAGGUGCUAAUUGAGUUUUUUUUUUUGUUUUUUUUUUUGUGUGUGUACAUGUUGUGCUACUUUUUAACCUACUACUACAACUACUACUUGUGGUUGGUUCUUUGAUUGUUUCUGAUGAUCAUAAUCAGAAUUGAGAGAAUUAUUCAUUAUUGAUUGAUGUUUGUGAUGGCGCAUUUCCCCUUUGCUUUCAUCCACUAGAGUGUCUGUUUGAUCUUAUCCUAGCAAGUAAAUAUGAUGAAAUUUGUUUUCUUGUGAAAGCAAUCAACGGAUAUGGGAAGGGACUACUGAUCAAUUGGCCAUUGGAUACCCCUUUGAAUAGCCUAAAAAUGAGCAAAUUCUAGUGGAGUUCAAUAGCAUCAGAAGACAUGUUAAAGGGACUGAAUCGAAACUCGAUAAAGCACUUAAUAAUGCUAUUGAUGAUCAUGAAAGUCUGGCAGCGCUCAGGUCAGGCAAGCUUUUAAUACGAUAUAUAUUUGUCGGCUACUGGCCGUGCAUAUUUCCAUGGUUUAUGAAGACCCAUCCAUUUUCGUGCCUGAUGCCUGCUGACUAGCAUCCGGAUUCCAGGGAAAAGGUGGAUUAACGAUUAAGAAGAGCUCGUCCGGAGUCAUGUUGAGUAACUUUCAACUUCAACUUUUUGAUUUUUUUUUUUAAAAAAAAAAAAACUCACAGGUUACAAUAGAGGAGGGGAAUCCCAUUUUACUCUUAUAAUGCGGACUAGAGCGAAAAAACUUCCAUCACAUAGUGGAAAAAAUUUCACUAUUGUAACGGAAGUAUUGGGCUCGCUCAAAGCAGCUUUUAUUGGGUCAUUCACCCCGAUCUUGAAAUAAUAGUUGUGCAAUUAGGUCCCCUUGCCCAACAUAAAACGCUGUUCAAGUUUGAUUUGAAUAGUUGGCAAAUCAAGUUCAAAUCAGUUGUUACCAAAUCGAGCUCGAUUCGAACGUCGAAUAGCUUAGUUCAUCUUUCGAUCCUAAUCAUGAAUAUCUUUUAUUAGUUUAAGAGCUCCGGAAAAAGGAAUAGGGGAGGACUUGAGAGUCAAAUUAGGCUUCUUUUUAUGUUGCUGGACCUUGGAACAUUUAAUCAUAGAUAUCAUUGAGUGUGAGUAUGUGAUGGACGCGGGAAAGAGAAGCAAUAGACAUAAAAUUAGGCAAAGCCUUGUGAUGUUCCUCGGUCACAACUUUGGAUAUGGACUGGACUUCAUGAGAAAAUGUGUCGGAUAAAAAAAUAACAUUCUUUUUUUUUUUUUUUUGGUCAAAAAGCAACCUAACAUUAUUCCCCAUUCUCCUAUGCUUCCUUUUGCAUUGUGUGGACUCUUGGGCCAAAAACUUAUCAAGCCAUUCUGUUUUCAGAUUGUUUCAGAGUCCAGGAGUGGAGCAGAAACCCAUACUGGGGAUAUUAACUGCGGCCAUCUGGCCCACUGAAUUGACCUACGUAUCAAUUGUGGCCUGUAUUGUUCACCACAUCCAUUGAUCGACCUACGUGUCAAUUGUGGCCUGUAUUUUUUGUAUUUCCCUCCACAAAAAAUACCUGAAAUAACUGUCCCUUUUGAGAAAAUAAAUACAAAAAACAAAAUAAAAAAAAAAAUCUAAGAAACGGACGACGCCAUGAAAGAAAGCAACAGAGCGCAGUCCUAGGCUAGCCUAAAAUUGCUGAAACAAAUCUUCAAACAUAACUCUGAUGAUUUCUUUUGUUUCCCAAGCAUAAUUUUAGGUACUAAAAUUCCUCAUAGAUCCUCGAAACAAUCAUGGCUACGGUUGCCACCAGUGGGGUUGGAUUAAGUGGAGCAAGACUCCAUGCUUUCAACUCCAGCAAACCAUUUUCUCCAUUUCUUGGGAAGAAGCUCAAGAUUAAACCAAUUUCUGAGUCAAUUCAUCCAACAAAGUUUAACCAUGCAAAAUCCAGGAAUCUUCUUGUUUUAGCAUCUGGGUGGAUUUAAUGAGCUUUGUCAACGAUCUUUUUGUUGGGGUUGGAGUUGGACUUCCAUGUACGGUCAUGGCGUGUGGUGAUAUAAUUUAUAGAAGUACACUUCCAAGCUCAAAUGGUCUCACAGUUACAGUUCCUGGGACGAUUUUAGCACUGGGUGCUUUGUCUUAUUUGUGGGCUACUCCUGGUGUUGCCCCUGGUUUUUUUGAUAUGUUUGUGCUUGCAUUUGUUGAAAGACUGAUUAGACCUACCUAUCGGAAGGUUAGUUGAUUGUCUGGUGAAUUUUUGAUUUUGUAAAGUUUUGAGGAUAAAAUCUUGGAAUUUGGAUAAUUUGAUUUUGUUUUGUGGUGGCAGGAAGAUUUUGUGCUUGGGAGAAAUUAGGUGAAGGGUCUUUUGGUGUGGUUUAUAGAGCUUCAUGGGCUAAAAAGCCCUCCCCAAAGGUAAAUAUUUGACAGGAACUUGCUAGUAUCAAAGUUUUGUUUAUUGUUUAUGUUAUUUCAGCCCUUUCGGAUUUUUUCCCCUUUAUGUGCUUUGCAUGUAUUAUAGGGAAUAUUGUUGAGGUUAUGCUGGUCCCUACUUGAACUUUGAUGGAAUAUUUUCUUCCAUUCUUUUGCUCAAAUGCUCAGACUUUAUAUAGAACCUAAUCACAUGUACAUGUAUCAAGUUUUUUCCAAACUUUUUGUCAAUCUGGAAUGAAUGUGUUAUUAGGCCACAGUUUGCAUUAAUAUUAGUGAUAAAGAUAUCUAGAAGGCAUGUUUGCUAAUUUCUAUUGGUAGCGAUCCUAAAAUAACAAUAGUUGCUAUUGGUUGUCACUCAAAGGGUGGAGAGUUAGUCUUGAAAAAGGCUACUGAAUAUGGAGCAGUGGAGAUAUGGAUGAAUGAACGUUGCGAAGGGCUUGUGCUAGUAGCUGUGCUGAUUUUGUGUAUGGCUUUCUCGAGGUGCUGCUCUCUUUGCCUAAUGUUGCUAAGUAUGAUUAUAGCAGAGAUAAUAAGACAGCUUCAAGCACAUAUCUAUAACUUUUGCAAAUUGGAUUCAUAGUUCUUCAAAGAAACAAGCUGAAUAUUGGCUUAUAUGGCGUUUUGACGGGGAAGCCACACUUGCUGAUUUAAUGCAAAGUAGGGAGUUUCCUUACAAUGUUGGUACCACUUCUGUCUCACCUUAAUUCUAAAUCUGUGAUGCAGAACAAAUCUCCUUGAUGGAAUUUUCAAGUAGAUAUAUUAUGAUGUGGAAAUCAUCUGUUCCAUAUGUUAUCCAUUUUGAACAUCACUAUGACUUAUUAUGUGUAUUUGCUUAGGUGCAUAUUAGACGUGCACAAUUCCAUGAAGGCUCACGGUAGCAUAUUUAAGGACAUAGCUGCUGGCCUAAAAAAGUGCCAACUCUUUCGUUUUGUAACUUAUAUAUUCAAUUCAUGACAUGAAUUAUAUGUAUUGUUACAUAAUGACGUAGGCCAACCAUUGGACCAUAGCUGUGCUUAUUGUUCCAUAGUGUAAAGCCCUAAGAUAAUAGGAUUUCCCUCCAAACAUAGCUGUGCUUAUUGUUCCAAAGUGGUAGAGUAACUGAUUCUUAAUAGAAACAAUAAUGUUGUAUUGUGAGGACAGAAGAGAAUAAAACUGUACUCUCUUCAGGAAAAAUUUCAUAGAGCUUGCCUGCCAAAAGGAAAAAGAUUAUAGUUGUCCAUAUUAUGAUGAACUGGUAGGCAAACAAAGAUAUCAUUGGUAGCUCUCCAGGUACAGAGUAACAACGGUGGCCACAAGAACUUCUCAAAGUGACAAUUGUGUUGUCAGGACCAGAAGGGUGUCAAAAUACUAGCUGAGAUUGGUUUCUAUUAAUAGUCUUUAGCCUCUAUCCCAAGCUUUCAGUGUUGAAGGUGAAUUUGGCUACCUUUAUGAGUGAAACAGUAGAAAUAGAUUUCUAGAACUGCAAGAAAGAAGAAGAUUUACAAAGAAAAUCAGGAAUUACUGAAACAAGGAGCACAGAAAAGAAAACUUGGAAAUUGAAUGAGAAGUCAAAUAUUUGUUCAACUGAAAAGAAAUGUUUGCUAGUAGGAAAAUUCUUGUCCAAGAAUUAAGAAUCCGUUGUCCAGAUUUCCCCUUCUGGCACUCAAAGGGUAGAGCCUGUAGAUUGACUGCUGAAACUAUGAAUCCUGACUAGACACACAAGAUUAAGAUGGUGACCUCUCCAGCUUUGCUUCAGUUAGAUGCUCUAGAUUAGAAACUGAUUCCUUUUUCACAUGGCAAAGUGCUUCAUGGGUGGAUUUCUGAGGUUGAAAACUUUUCCAGUAUAUCCAGGUCUUUGAGUCACUUUUGUUGUAAAAUAUGCCAAAUGAGUCCCCCCCUCCCCCUCUCCUGAAAAGAAGUCCUAGUUGUUUAUCUCCCUUUAACCUAUAUUAGCAAUAGGUUGAUCUAACUAUGGUUUUGUGUUCAUUAUCUUGUCUAAAGAAAAGGUCAAUGCUUUUGUACACUUUUUGCAAUGAGUUGCUGAGACGGUCUCUAUUGACAUAUAAGAUCAAAUUUACAUUUCUAGCCUCUUCUGCUAACCUUAAUGAAGUUUUCGCAAACUUAAAGGUGGAAGCACUGCUUCUGGGGAGGUUAACAACUUGCCUAAGGUCUAGAAAGGGAAAAUCAAAUUAUCCAGACUAUUUUGGGACGGAUCUUGUUUGCAUUAGAUGGUCUUCACUCAACCGGAAUUGUCCACAGAGAUAUUAAGCCACAGAACAUAAUUUUCUGAAGGUGACUGUUUUGUGCCAACCUUAUUAGCAGCUCGCUUAAACUCUCUCUCUAUUGUUUCUUUCAGUUUUUUUUCUUUUUCUUUUCAUUUUUCUUCAUUAAAUGUGAUGCAGGUUCUCGCACAUUCAAAAUCAUUGAUCUUGGAGCUGCUACAGAUUUAAGGGUGGGCAUCAAUUAUAUUCCUAAGGAGUUUCUGUUAGAUCCAAGGUAACUUUUCAGCUCAACAAAAAUAAUCACUGCCAGGAGCAUGUUGGUUUCUUCUCUAUACACUAAAGUACUCAAACUUGCAAAUAGCUGCUGAUGAAGUACUAAAGUUUCUAGGCAGCCUAAUCAAAUGUCAUUAUCAAACCAAUAAGAAAGUAUCAGUUAGUUACUCAUGAGAAAUCCUGUAAAAUCCUGGAUAUUGACCCAAAUCCUUACCUGGGGUCAUCUACUCAAAUGUUACCUUUUUCAUUAGGAAAAGAAAAUUAUGUUGAGCAAAGUAUCAAUCAACUUCAGUUAUCUCAGAUCAAAAUGUGUAAUAGUCCUCCCUACACCAAAAUUCAUCCCAGAAUUAGUGGCCAUCUUGGUUCUCUUAGUCAUGUCAAAAGCUAGGAAAAAUUCACGCAGGGAUGAGAGGGUUAGAAAAUGGAGCGCUACAAACCUCCACCCCUCCUUCCCCAAAAACGACCUUUUUAGUCAUAGAGGAAAUGUUUCUUCGUAGAAAAAGCCAACCAACCAUCAAGUAUACUUUGUUUUUGGGAAGGGAAGAAGAAGAGGGAAGGAGCGAAUUUUUGGGCAAUGGAACAACUUUAAAGUUGACUUCUUUUGUACUUUUGGAAGUCCAUCACAAUUAAGAAUAUUUUUGUUUUCGAUUUCCCAUAAAUUGCGCAAUAUUAAAUAACCGUUCUACGUGACUUUCAUAACCAUUUGGUAUCAGGCAGUAGAAGAGUGUAUUUCAUACUAUGAACUGAUUUAGUUUGACAACACCAUCGAGUUGAUUUUGUUCAAUACGAUCCACAAAUUUAAAUUAUCACCUCAAGAAGUCAAAUACAUAAUAUCUGAGUUGAAGUUGUAAUAAGUUAUUAUCCCAGUAACAGUUUCAUAUUUGGAAUAUACAUUGGGACUGAAAUCAUUAGGAUUUAUUUGAUCUCUUUACGGAUAUUCAUUGAGCAUUAUCCAAGCUAACAGGAGCUACUUUCUUGAUAGGCUCCAAGCAUCAAUCUAAUUCCAUCAAUUAUAGAUUCACAUGAUUCCAGACUUUGGUUUAUUUGCACAACAUUAUUAUUUCUCAUUUUCUCCAGGUAUGCUGCACGACUGAGCAGUAUAUUAUGAGCACUCAAACACCCUCUGCACCUUCAGUUCCAGUUGCAACGGCACUAUCUCCUGUUUUAUGGCAGGUAUUGUGUCUUCUAUGAAUACUUUCAUCUUCACGCCACCUUGAGGUUGAGCGAUACAUUUGACUUACCCCUAAACAACAAUGUCUGAGCAGCUAAAUUUGCCAGAUCGCUUUGACAUCUACAGCGCCGGGCUCGUAUUUUUACAAAUGGUAAGUUAGCGAUACUAGUUAAUUAUGACUGUUUCUCCUGGAUGAUGUCCUAGGAAUGAAAGCAGUUACGUAUAGGAGAACAAUAUACUCUUUUCACGAGUAUAAAAAAUGGUCAAUAAGUAGUUGGAAUAUCCUUUGCUGAGAUUGUCAUUCUGUACUUAUUUUCACAUUGUCAUUGACUAACAAACUUCACCAUGUUUAAAAUUCAAACGGAAAAAAGAAAAAUCUUUGGAAAGAAUUUUCUGUCUCUGUCUGCAUAUAACAAUGGCACAAAUAUAUGUAAAUCAUGUUUGAUAUUCCUUUUGAGGUUCUGCAUUUCAAAAUUUCCCUACAGAGAAGCUAACUCGAUCCCCAAGUGCGGCAUUGAAGUCUGAAACUAAUCAAGUAACACUAUGAUUGUGGUGAUUGAUAAUUACUGUUUUAUUGCAUUGGGUGUAGUGUUUGAUUGGCACUGCCUUAGUGACUUCCCCCUUAUUGAUGAUGAGCUCAUUGCCUGCAGGCAUUCCUGGACUACGAAACGACAAUAGUCUCAUACAAUUUAACCGUCAGCUAAAGCGAUGUGACUACGAUCUGGUUGCAUGGAGGAAUACAGUAGAACCACGUGCAAGCAAUGAGCUUAGAAGGGGCUUUGAGUUGUUAGAUCUGGAUGGUGGCAUUGGAUGGGAACUUUUAACAUCAAUGGUUCGGUAUGACGCCAAAGAGUCAGCGCAAAAGAAGCUUUAGCUCAUCCUUAUUUUGAUAGAGAAGGCCUAUUGGCCAUGUCCUUUAUGCAGAACCUAAGGAUGCAAUAUUAUCGAGCGACACAAAAAGACUAUAGUGAAGCUCUCAAGUGGGUUGUUCGGCUGAUGGCAAAGUCAGGAACAGAGCAGGACGGUGGCUUCACUGAAGCACAGCUUCAGGAGCUCAGGGUUUGUAUAUGCUAAACUGCAUAUUAUGGAUUUUAGAAAUAGUUACACUAUGAGUUACAACUCUCUAUCUGCUUUAUGCAGGAUAUACAACCUAAAAAGAAGUCGAGUGCGCAAAGGAAUGCUCUUGCAUCAGCUCUCAAGCUGCAGAGAAAAUCACAAGGACAUUAAAGGAGAGUGUUGAUGAACUUAAUCAAAGGCGAAAGAGCGUAUGGUGGAAUCGGUGGAUCCCAAGAGAGAAUGAAAUUUGUAAAAAUAGUAAUUUGCUUAUGCAUGUAAAUUAUUUUGCAGUCCUCAACCUUAACUUCUCUAGCGGAGUAAAUGAUGUUUAAUAGAGAGUACAAAAGCAGAUUUUAUAUAAAAAGUAAUAAAUGAUGUUUAAUAGAGAGUACAAAAGCAGAUUUUAUACUGUAUAAAAAGUAAUGUACAUCAUUCCACUCACACUCGGAUUAAUCCUCUUGUAUGGUAGGAGACGUAUAAAAGAAAAUUUACAGAUAAUCGAUUGUCCCUUCAGUUUUCUGAUUCUGAAUUUCAUACCAUUAUCCUAAGGCAUGCAGAAACACACAUUAACCAAGGCCAAAGAUCAUUCCUGUUGCAUAAUUCAGCCCUUCAUUUCACUUUCUCAAUUUAUUCCUUUUGUAGUAACAUGGAUACGUAGUUCGUUGGAGCUACAAAAAUAGGCAUAUAGAUAGCAUGAUAAUUGACUAAUUAUUUCUGUCUUCCUCACUGGAAUGAAGAUUGUAAGUAGCUAUAAUACGUGUGCAUUCAUCAUUUCCAUAUCCAUUGAAUGGAGUUAGUAGGAAAUGGAACAUCAUAUACACAGUUUUUUCUUCUUUAAUUUCCUUAGCAUUUCUCUUAUUUGCCUCCUUAUCCUAAUCUUGCUUUUCUAUUAGUACUAGUAAUUUCAUCUUGCUUAAUUUGGUGUGUUCGGAAACAAAAAUUUUUCAAAUAUUAUUUUAUUUGUGUCAUAAAAAUAUUUUUCAACCACGUUUUUAUAUUUUUAAUUAUUUUUUUAUUUCACGUACAUCAUAUCAAAAAAAAGUGCUAUAGUGACCUUUCUAAAUAAUAUUUCAAGCAAUCUGCCAUCCAAACACACUACGGUAAUUUCAGUUCUGCCACGCUCCAUAAUGCUCAAUUAAAAAUCCUUUCCGGAUCUCAAGGUUUUCACAGCAUACCUGGGAUAUUUCCAGGCAAAAACUGUUAAGGAUGACGAUGAGCCAUGUUAUGGCAUGAGACCUAUCAUUGUGCCAACAAUGUAUUGACCCAUUGUGCUGGAUACGUAUGAGAGUUUCAGAGUUGUGAUAUACAAGUCGGAAUAAUUACAUAUCUAAGCUAAAACUUUAAGAUGAUAAAUGCGUAAAAAAAUAAAAAGGAUAAUGAAUAAGUCAAGCUAAUUCUCUGUUCAUGUUGUGUUCCCUACCAAUAGAGGAUAUAGGGCUUGUUUUCAAAUGAUUCUAAGUAAAUUAAAACAAGAAGAUAAAUGUUUUUAGCUUCUGAUUCGAAUUAUGAAAAUCAGAAGCAUCUGUGAGAACUUAUCUACAAAGAUUGAGGUUCUCUGGUAAGCUGACAACUUCAUCCCCGAACUUGCAUGGCAAUUCAUAGCUAAGUAAAACUUAAAACUGAGGCCAACGGUGACAGGCCAGAUAACCAAGAAUUGGUCACGUUGUUAGUUGAAAACAUUGGAAGCAAUUCUGACAUGCUUAGGAUAAGUAAUUAUUGUUCGUACAGUUAAUUAACUGUCAUCAACUCACUAUCAAGAAACCCUUCAGUCUCCACCAUCAUCCUACCUUCCUUCCUCUCCUGAGGGAACUCCAUUUAUGGAGAUUUGAUACGCACGUAAGAAUACAAAUCAUGCACUACUAUGCUUCUUACUACUGAUAUUUGUUUGAGCAUAAAUUAUUACCCAUUCGUGCUGGCUUAUGGCAGUUGACACCACAAUUAGAGUACUUAACAUAUUCAAAUCUGCAGAAGUAACGUCACCAAUAACUAAUUUACAACUAAGUACUAUUGCUUUGCGGAUGAACUAGCUUUUAAAUAAUUUAGGUGAAUAUACCUACUUAUAUAGAGUUCAAACGUUGGUGGCAGCAAUAAUUAACGAUUAGUAGCAUAAGAUGAUGUCGAGAAUAGCAGGAACAACAACCGUAUCAACCAUGAGAGCUUCACGUGUGACCUGACCUUCUUGUUCAGGCACACAAAAGUCCACUUUUUUAGCCCUUGACAGUACAACACACACCCCACCAUAGUCACUUCAAAGUAAGCCUGGAAGACUCGGAUUAUGGCAUAGUACAAGUUUCUUAAUCAGCACUGUCCCCCUCAGACUUGUUUUCUUUCUUUUAUUGAUAUUUUCCCCUUACCCAAUGUGGUUUUGGGUCAUAGCCCAUCGUAUGAUUUUAUUGGCAUUUCAAAGUUUUGAUUAGCUUUGGAUAUUUCAUGGUUCAUGAUCAUUUGUUGUUUUAUGCGUGAAUAGAACAAUGACUAUAGCUUACUGAGUCAUCCUGCAUCUAUUUUAAGGACCUGCACAUUGCUUUAUCAUGAGCUAUGGAGCUUGGACUCAAUGUAUCAUGAUUUAACCUUGACUCAGACAUAAUGAAAAUCCAUCAUGGCGGACGAAUUCCCCAUAAGUUAGGUCCAUCUACACGCUUAACAUAAGAUAUGAAAGGAAAAAUUCUUCACUAUGUAAUUGCUAUCAUGCAUUCAAACUCAUCAGUAGAAGAAACGUUUUUCUAUGGCAUAGCCUAAUAUCUCCAAAAAAAACUAAAGGAAAGAGCAAAAAAAAAAAAAAAGAGAGAAAGAAAAACCAUGUAUUACACUUAGUUCAAGCUGACUAGAAAAACCAAUAAAACUUAAUGUCCAAGUCAAGGAGUUGGAGUGUGAACUGUUACAUUACGUUAUGUAAUUACUUUAUAUAAUGAAGUGUCAUGCGUUACAUUAUGUUGUUGCUUAAUACCUUUAUUUAUUUCGAGUGAUGAGUUUGAAUUGAAGACAGCUAACUAUAGACAUACGUGAGCUCAGAAACUGAGAAUGGCAGCUUCAAAACUGCUCAAAAGAAAGAACCCCCAAAACAAGAAAGUAAAAAAAAUCUUAAAUCAAUAGUUUAUUAGAACUUUAGGUUACUGAAAGCUGGUGUCCUUAGUGAAAUGGGAGGAACACGAGAUCAAGCAAGUGGGUUGGCUUUGCUUGGUAACCUGAUCAUCAAGAUUAAAUUAAUCAUUCACUUAAUCGAAUUUUGUGCUGUUUCCCCACUAGAUUUCAGCAAGAAAGGAGUAGUAGAAAAUUCAGCUAUGGUCAUUGCUUGGAAAUGUGGUUUCUUGGGUUCUUAAAUGUUGGUGCAAUAAAAGAGAAUAUGGCGGGGUAAUUGAAGGCUCACGUGAGGCUUAGUUUGACCGUUAUUUUGAUCGAUUCCCACAAGUAGCGUAAAAAUUCUCGUAAUUAAGCCAAAAUAUGCAGGGCAUACGAUGUUGAAACUUGCUUCCAUUUUUGCAAUUUAAUUCUCUCAAGCAUAUCUUUCUUUGAUCCCUUUUGGUUUUCAAUGUCAUUUUCAGAAUUUUCUAGCACAAUACUUUUUAUGGGUUCUUUGCCUUCAAUUUAUUUUGACAAAUUAUGACAAAAUGUUUCCUACAAAAAAAUUCAAUGCCAUUUACUUUGAGCAGAGUGAUUUCCAUUGGAAUUGUUGAAGACGAUCCUGCAAAGUAAAACGGUGACAAGGCAUCUUCAUUCAGCAAGUUCUUUAAAUUUCUCAUUCAGGAUGUUUUUUUGAUACCUUAGCUUAGUAGGGUAAAUACUUUAAUGCCAAUCCAAAUUUACAGAUACUCGUUGUGGUAGUCAACCUAAGAUGACUGAACCAGAUAUGAUUUCUCCUGUUAAAGAUAUUAUUACAAAAAAAAAAUCUCAAUAAAAUUAAUUCGUUCUUGGGUCAAUUCAAACUUUUAUUGUUUGCAUGGCAUGCCAACUGUAAGUUUAGUGCUUCAAGAAAAAAGAAAAAUGGAAAUCAAAACUUUGAAUAUAACACUUUGUAUAUCAGUGAUCACUAUAGUGACCACUAAUGAUACAGAAGGCAGAAUUCCUGGAAAAAAUGUUGCCUUGAAGCCUCCACUUGCACCCAUUGUCAUACAUACUGUCUCCGUAACUCCCAAUUAUACAAAGCAACUACUGGAACUGUUGACUUGAAGUUGCAACCGCACCCCAUUAUCACACCUAUUGUCCCAUAUGAAUAAUGCUGAUGGAAAUUUUGCUGGAUUAGAUUGGGAUAAUUCAUUAUAGUAGGCUAUUAGGUGGUGCUUUACUUUACAUGUACGUUAGUUAAAAUGGGCAUUUUUUAGUAGGAUCCAACUGAGACCCUCACUUUGUCUGUUUAGGUGGAUCCGACUCAAAUAAGACAUGAACUUAAAUGAGUGUACCAGAAAUAUGCAGGAGAAGGGUCACUUUGACCAAAAUUAUCACCUCAUCAUCAACACUAUUGCAAGGCAGCUCAUAAACUAAGGAAUUGUGCUACCUUAUUGAAGUAAUGGCUGACCCCUUAUGUUGGUAGGUGAUGCAUGAUAACCAGAGUUGUAUAUAGAGAAUGACAUGGCACUAUGGCAUUGAAUCUACACUUGUACAAAUAUGCAUUAGUAGCGGUAUUUAUUUACUCACUAGUGUUUGAAUAAUUUUAAUCUUUAUUUUUUUUUCCUCCAUGUUGGGGGUUUAUAGCAUGGAAUCCCAAGUGGGUAUGGGACCCUUAUGGUACUGUCUGGUGAGCUAGGGGGCACUGCACACACCUUGAUGCCCCAUAGUUGGCUCUUUACUCGACCAAGGCAAGUUUGGACCACACUUGAAACUCCUUAUAUAAAGAGCCCUUCUUGCUCUUUGUUCAUCACUUCAAUUUCAGCAACUUCUUCAUUCAUCACUUGUGAGUUUACCUGCACCAAAGCACAAAGAAGAAAAAAGAACACUUCUUGCAAUCUAUUGUAGAGAAGAUGAAGAUGAGCAGCACAAACAUGGGAAGCUCCAAGAGAAGAAUUUCAAGCAGAGGACUAGGAGGGGUCCUAAGAGAGCAAAGGGCUAGGCUUUACAUAAUCAGAAGAUGUGUGGUCAUGCUGCUUUGCUGGCAUGAAUGAAGAGUAUCUUUCUAGUUCUAUCUAGCCUUCAAUAAGAAGGGAUGCUUGUUUUUUUCUUCUUCUUCUUCUUUGAUCAUCUUGGGGAGUGUAAAUAGCAAAGGCCGAGAUUAGUGAGAAAGAAGUUAACAAUUUUGUACUAAUUAUUAAUUGGCUUUAUGAGCCUUCAUGUGUAUACAGUCGGAUAGCUUAAUGGAUUGAAAAAAUCAUCUUUAUCAAUUCAUUGAGUCUUAGUAAUUCUUUUCAUUUUCUCUCCUUUGAUAUUAUGUGUUAUCAUUUCUGCUGUGGAUUUUUGAAGAUGGAGGACUAGUUCAUCAGCCAAACUUAAUCAAGCUAUUGUAGGAUGAGGACAUGCUCACAAAAUUGGGUAGCUGAAGUCUAAUUCACAUUAAUCUUUACCUUCUGGUGAUCGGCUAAUCAUCUUUAUUUGAUCAUUUCUUUCAUCAGUCCUCAUGGAGGUUGACUAGUUUAUUAUCCUCACAAUAGUUCACAUUCAUCGCAGUCCUCAACGUACACAAAAAACAAUGAAGAUAAUGAAUGCUUGGAUAUUUAAGCAAUAGGGAACUGGUGAUGACCAAAUUGGGAAGAUGUAUGAUCGGAUUCUUUAGUGCUAGCUCAAAGUUCAUAUCAACUUCAAUUUGCAGAUUUUUCUACUUGUAUUUUCGUACCUGAAUUAUUCGAAUAUCUGGAUCCCCAGAUUCAGAAUCAGAUGAGCAGGACUUCCAAGUUUCUUCCCAGAAAUUAAAAUUCAAAAAUCCAGAUCUUUGGAAGACUUUUUUAUUUCGUUUUAUUUUGGUAUUGGCAUUGGAUUGUUUUCUUUCCCGCAAGAAGUAGUACUAGUACUUACCUGUCGUCCAAAUUUAGAAGCUACCUAAGCCAUCCAACAAGUACCAGAGAAAACAGGGUGGAAAAAUUUUGUAUUCGUUUUAUUAGGCUUAGCCAGUCAGGUUUAUAGCAGAUACCAUACAUAUUACACUUAAUUUUGCAGGCUUUUUUUUUUCAGAAAAGAAAGUAGUUGAUAUUUCUAGUAGAUUUAUGCUCUUUAUUUCUGCGCAUAAACUUGAAUUAAACUCUUGACUGGUGCAAACAAGUAAGGGAAAAAAAAAUAUAGAUUAUCUUUAAUUAGCAGAACAAUGACUAAACCUUUUUUCUUUAUAUAUAGAUUUUGAGCGAAUUAUUAGCAAAAACCUAGAAAUAGUAGUAUUAUUUCCUGCUGUUUUAACACUUUCUGAUUAUCAUGUAGGCCCUAUAAUCAUUUAAAGUGAUAAAUGUUGUGAUCUUACUUUCCUAGUUUCCAAUCCAGUCAAACUAUUUACAAACUUUUUGUACUCUCAGGAAAGCAGGUCCAAAAAAGACACAGAGUAUCUUAUAUAUUGCAAAGUAUGUUAUUACUUAAUUGUUACAUGCUUAAUUAACGAUUUUGAUUGUCGUCUUGUGAAUUGCAGGUGCAGCAAGAAAUUGACUUAAGACACUAAUUGAUAUAUUUCAUCUGUUUCUUUUGUCUGCUUUUGAUAAUUGAGGGUUUGGUAGCUACAAACAUGAAAAUUUAGCUAAUUAAGCUUUAAUAAUUAAGUUGGAGAUUAGUUAGUUUGUGACAAGGUAUUGUCUUGAUCAUCUUGUCUUCAACCAAACCUGCAUUAGUGAAUUUCAAAGUAUUGUAGUCGAAGAAAGAGAUGUUGGCCCAACCAGACAACGCCACUGACUCUUAUGCCAAUUAUGUUAAAUCCUGUGAUUAAUGAUUAUCCUAUCCAAGGGACAUUGGAGUCAAACCUUCAUUUCAUUAACAAUUGUGGUAAGGGACUCCAACCUAAUAUUUACAUGUGCCAUGCAUAUUAUAUAAACUGAAUUAUUAAGUAGUAGUAGUAGUAGUAGAAUUGAAAUAAUAGCACACAAAAUUAAUUAGGAUAAACAGUCAGAUAUUAACACUUCAAACUAUAUAUGCUGAACUCUUUUUUUUUUUUUUUGGAAAACAAUAAUGGGGUCAUAGGACUAUAAUGUUCAGCGUGUCCCCAGAAAUUAAUUUAUACUGCUCAUCUUGUACGUCUAUUUUUCUCCCCCUAAAGUUGAAAUGAUUUCUUUUUGCAUCUAGCUCAAGAAAUCAAUAUAGUUAGUCUUAGGAAGUAGAAACUUGAAUUUAGUAAAGUUUCUGAAAUUUUCAGAAAGUAGAAUAAGUGUGCAAUAAAGAUGCUACUUUUUUCUCCAAUGACCCCCUAAAAAAACAACAAAGAAAAGAAAUAAAGAAAAAGAAAACAACAAAUUAAGAAAAGUGCAAAACAUAAACUUAAUAGUGUCUUGUAUGGAAUUCUCCUCAACCAAAAAUUUGGACACCGUUAUAAGCUUAUAAACAUUCUUGGAAUUAAUCACAGAAUUCAAGUCAUUCUCAUUCAUCCUUGUGCUAUUUAUUUUUCCUUUUCCCUAGAAUAAUCUUCUUGGAAGGUAUUCAUUAUUCUCUUUUUCUUUUUCCAUUUUCUCCCAAUUAUUCAGCUAGAGUUGGGCCAACAGGCGCUUAACAACAAAAAGAAAAACUAGUGCCAGAACCAAGCUGCGGAAAAAAACAAGAUAGGAUAAAAAGGAACAAAAUAUUUGUAUUUUAGUGAUCGUGAGGUGCCACAUUAAUUAGUUGUUCUAGUUGAAUUAAAACUUAGGUGAUAGUGACGAACUAAAAAUAAUGGAUAUCAAUUGUCCUGUUUGUUUAAUUUUUAGUAACAUUAUACACAAAGUCUAAAUUUCAAUCUGCAAAUUUACUAUUAAAAACUUGAUAUUUAUAAAUUAAAAAAAAUUAAUCUUUUAAAAUAGCGUAAGUGAAAGGGUUCGAAUUCAAAAUCUCGCAUUUACACUCUUUUAUUUUUAAAUAAAAAGAGAGUUAUUAUACUAGUGCUCUAUAUAUUAUCAAGAAACGUGCCAUCUAAAAACAUACAACAUAAGAAAUAUCGUUCAUCUUCUGUUUAUUGGAUGCCAAAUCAAUUAAAUGCCGAAUCAAAUUUUGAUGUAAGAUGGUUGAUGUUUCAUGUUUCUUGAAGGGCUUGUGAGAUUUAUGAUUAAAACGUCAACUUUUAUGUUUAAAUUCAUCUGGAAUCAAACUUACAGCGCGAAGCUUACUGCGUUUGCCAUUCUUGCGGCAUCAACAUGAUCUGAUCUGUGAUGAUGUUACUAAAACUGUUCUUUUCUUCUUUCCCCUUCAAAAGAAAAAAGAUCAUGUACAGAAAGAAAAGGUGAACAAACAAAAGUGCUGUACAAGAAAAAAUAAAGAAUGGCAAAUGGGGUGAAGGAGUUGAAACAGUUAAAAGUCCAAAACUGAAGUGGGGCAAAGAUUGUCAGGCUGCACAGGAGCUGAAUCGCUAAUCUAAUAUUCUGCUGUCGGCCACAUAACAAUUGCCAUCUCAUCUCGUCUCUCAGCUAAGCCAAAAUUGAGGUGAGCUCAAGAAAUGGAGUGAUGGAGCCAACCCCGACACAAUGUGAUCAGUCAAAAUGGCAGCCUUAUCCACCCCCACGUGCAUUUUCUUAUCUUCAACCCACCACCACCACCAUCCCAGCCCAUGAGGCAACCACCACCACCACCACCACCUCCACAACGACCAUGACCUCCCUCCCCUUUCAAACCCCCCAGUCCCCACUCCCUGUGAUUCUUUUCUAAUCAUCAAAAAUCCCCAUCAAAGUGGUCCGCCCGCCUACCCCUCCCUAGGCAUAUAGAUUCUUCCUAUGUAGUACUCGUAUACUUACUUCCAGUAUGGACUUGGACUAACAUGCAUACAUCAUCACUGCUAAAAAAUUUAACCGAUAUAUCUUCAAAAAAGAAAGAAAGAGAGGAACGUAAAAAUUGUUUCAAGAUUCAGAUCAACUGCUAUAUGCAUGUAUAUAUGUAUGUUUGUGUGUGUAUAUAUAUAUAUCUUCUUGUACUUGGGAUGCAAUAGACGUUCAAUGCCAAUAUCUGACUAAGAUAAUUCAUAUCUCCUUCGUUACGUACGCUUGAAUGGAUGAUUGGCUUUGCAAUGGAUGAUAUAUCUCCCAGUUUUGGAGUCUAAUCUUAUCACCCGCCAAGCAUACAUGCUCGCCCGUUUGUAGAUACAUCUGGGUGAAUUGAUGCGUAGUUUUGGUAGGUAAGGUGAGUCAGAGUUGAUAAGAACAGCUGACUAACGAGUAACUGGGUGGAAUCAUAAUUUACGUAAAUUAAAUGGGUCAGAAAGGCAAUUAAAUGAUAGGUCUACGCGUGUCAAUAUUUCUUCCCCUCCCAUGCGACCCUUUGGCAUAGAUGCAAAGGAAGUGGAAAGCCUGGAAGGGGUUUCGAUGAGCUUAGAACUUUGGAAGGCUUUGGUGGGCAUCAUCACUUGAACUCAUUUCUCAAUUGUUUCUGUCAAUUGUGCCCGCAAUUAUUCGUUGUGAGAAAGUGACUACAGAUGGGAGCACAGUGGGCGCUUUCAUGCUAAAAGAAUGUGGUUUUGUCCACCUCCCAAACACGCCCCCCCUCCCAAAACCCCCCAUCCCUACAGCAAUUACCUCUGACUUGAAUAUAAAUUUAAAUCUAACAAAGAAAAUGAAGAAAAAAGGGAUUAUGUGAUAAAUUUCUUGUAAUAAAGAGUACAUGAUUACCUUUUUGCUGGUUAGAUUACUUUGAUCGUUAGUCAUGAGGAUAGUUUGUAGGUAGGUUUCAUCAACGUAAAGGGUGAUUUGUUACUUACCUCUAAUGAGAGGGGGGUAAUUGAAAUUUAGCCUGGAAUGAAAGGAAGGAGAAAUCAAUCAUGCAGAGUCUAUAUCUUUUGAUUUUUUAUUCUUGUGAGAGGAUUUAAUAUUGAGAAUCGAGAGGCCAAUACAUUGCGAUAGAAACAAGAGAAGAAGAAGCCAGAAGUGGUCCAUUUCCACAUGGAUUAAUUUAACUCUUUCGGACUUGUGGCAUUAGGGGUUCAGCCUAGAUGGUGUCUUAUUGGGACACAGCCACUCAUGCAGCUCUCUGCAUUGCUUCUUUCGGUGCUUUGAACUUUGAAGGCUUGCUUGCUUCAUGAUGGUCAAGACACUAAACUAUAGAUGUAAAAAAAAACACUCUUUUUUUCUUUCCAACCUCAAUGUCCUCCUUGUCCACCUCCAAUAAUAUAUCUAUCUAAAUCGAUCUGUGUGGAUGAUUGCUGAGAAUAGUAACCUUUUGCAUUAUAUGAUCAAGCGUCUGCGUGUACAUGUGUGAAUUAACUGUACUGUAGGAUUCGGCCGUGAAGAUAUAUGACAAAGUUUUGCAAGAUUCAAACGACUCAUGAUUUGAAGUUAGAGUAACAAUCAAUACGAAAAUGAGGGGAAAAAAAAUGUUAUUGCAUGAUUACGAGUAUUGAAUUUACGUGACAAGAUCCAAUUCACAGGGUCCCUCCAUUGUGAUGAAAACAUUGCAUUUCACCUACAUUUGCUACUAUUUGACAUCUACUCCUAACUCUUCUGCCCAGUGACUAGCAAUGGGGGUCGCCCUUCUUAACUUUGUUUUUGCUCAUAAUAUUUUAUAGAUUUUUUUUUUUUUUUUGUAAUUUUCUUUUAACUUGUCCUCCCUCCGAGUCCGAAGGUAUUGUUUACCUUACAUCUCUUGCCUUCUUCCCCUCCUCCUGUAACUUGACUUUUUGCCUAAAAAAUGUUAUUGUCCUUCUCUUCUUUAAAUUGCUGCCCAAAGUAAAAUAUACUUAUAAACUACCGCGUUAUGUCAAAGAAAUCCUUGCUAAUUGGAGUAUCUUUUUGUGCAUGUAUUGUGUACAAGUUAAUCAGUAAAGAUUGUCAAAUAGAUGGAACAUUGGGUGGGGUUAAAUCAGUUAAGAAAAUGAAAUCAAUAAAGUUAUGAACUUUCACAAAACGAUCAUUCUAGCUGAAGUUAAAACGGAUGACACAUUUAGUAUCUACCCUAUUCUGCACAUCAAUUAUUUUAUCUGCAGGAUAGGAAAAUCGGGUGUUACAUGGAAAUGCUACAACUCGUUAUCCAACUUGAAAAUACCAUGUAGAAGAUAACUUUAAGUUCACCACUUAAACCACUCUUUACUCUCAAGAAUCGAAACUGGUAAUCCUAACAUGGCAAAUAGUGUGUGCGUGUGUGCGUGUGAAGUAGGCAGAAGCAAAAGGGUCCUGGAAAGGUGGAACUGAGUGGCAAUGUUGUGAUGAAAAAGAGUGUAGUUGCUGGCACAUUUUGGUGAAACUGCCCUAUGUCGAGUGCUUUAUACCGCGUUCCUUCCCACACCAUCUCAAACAAGGAAAAAGAAAAAGAGGUACGAGACUUUCAGAUCAAAGUUUGGUGAUUCUUGAACAAAAGAGACACCUAAUUAUGACCCUGCCUCAACUUCUUUUUAUCUUGGAAGAAAAUUUUAAGUGACGAAUCAAAUGAGCAUCCAAAUCUUUAGAGUGCAUAUCAUCAUACUUAUUUAUUGUCUAUUAUUCGCUCUUAAAUUAUGAUAAAAGAGAAAAAAAUUAGAUGAUCGUUCGUUUCCAAAAUUCAAUUUAACUCGUACGGACAUUAGUGUGAUCAUGAGUUUUCUCGUUCAACUUUUAAACCUUUUCUUUUUUUCUUUCCCCCGCUAAGUACUAUUCUACAUUUUGUUGAUUCGAUAUCUUCUUUAUUCAAACAAAUAUUUGGCCAGCUAUUCAUACAAAAAAGAAGAAGAAGAAAAAUUACUCCGGCUUGAGCAUGCUGCCAAUGUAGGAGUGGAGCGUGCAACAUAUGAUGUUCUACACCCCGAAAGUCCCAACCCCCACCCUUUGAGAGGGCACAAGGUCCACAACCGCACCCACCAGGCAGAGCAAUUACCAACUCUGCAUCCUAGAAUGACUACUGCUGAAACCGAUCAUGUUAAGGCUAGGACCAGUCGUUUCUAAAAUCCAUUUAUAGCCAACCAUAAUAUGACCUGUAAGGUUCUUAGGUUCAAUGAAUCCUUCAUUUACGUUGAUGGGACAUAUGAAUCCAUCUUUGUUCCAAUGAAAUAAUGGUUGACAUGAUGCUGGAAUUCUCGAGUUCUCCGUUGAGUAUUCCAUUGAGUAUAUGUACCGUAAGGUCCGUUUGGUUCAUGGGAUGACACAGAAUAGUAUUUUUAAACUAUGGGUAUAUAUAUAUAUACACACAAAACAGACAGGCGCGAUCGUGAGUACUAGAGCAUGAUCUAAUUCUUACUACAUCAUAGUGUCUUUGGAGUACAUUAGCCCUUUUUACUUUAUCUCUCUAUGAAGAAUAAAUUAUCCUUACUUAAAGAAAAUAAUGUCAGCAGAUACAUGGUAGUUUCCAUGAAUCCAUUUUUAGACAGAAAUUAUUGAGAGCUAUAGGGAGUUCAAAGUUUCAUGAGCUGCGGUGUGGGCCAGAUUGUAUAAGGGCCCCAUGUAGCGAUUUUAUGUUGGACUGGUGGUUGGAUCUUUACAAACGGGUGUGAACAGAUCGUUCAGCCAUCAGUUCUUAAUGCUGUUCCUGACUGAGGGACCAAAGCCAGAGUUUGCCUAACAAGGACAAAUAUCAUAGGCCCAACAAUGGGCUAUUUUUAUUUUUUAUUUUUAUAUUUUUUUAGUGUGAGUGGGAGGACUCCAACCAAGUUUUCAGAAAAAUUCCUAGACUUUCACAGUGGGGAUGUUUCACUUUUUUUUUUUUUUUUGUGAUGUUCCCUUUUUUAUUUUUUUUUAAUGGGGGAUGUGGAGAAGAAGCAGGAAUGAAAUAAUGGGCAUGAAAAUAGAGAAAUUUGACUAGCAAGUGACAGUAAUCAAUUGUCUUAACUAUUGGACUAAGGUUUGAUGAUUAAAUGAAUUGUGCUCUUCCGCUGUGUUCCAUUUUGCAGGCUUCGUCAUCCAGAACUUCGAGCGGGUAUAACCUUUUAUGCUGGAUCCAAAUGAGCCACCAUGACAUGUAGCUUUCUAAAUCUGGACGAAAGGAGCAAAAUUAUCUGUCUGGGUUUGUAUUCUUUUUGUUCUUUAAUUUAAGCCAACUCAGGCCCAACUAUGUUUCAUUUAUCACUCCUUCAAAGCAUGGCAUCAAAAGCUUUUGCUUGACAUGCAAAUGAGCUUUGUAAUGCCAAGUUUUGAAUGAACCAAGCAAUCAACAAACAAGUUCGUAUUUGCCUUGUUUGAGUUCGAAAAAAGUUUAAUCGUUUAAUUAAUCAAUUGAUUUCGAGCACAAAAUUAGACUCCUGCAAUAAUUUAGCCGUCUCUCUUCCCUCCCCUUCUGAAAUCUGGCCGUAUGAUUCGAUCGUGACCAAAUCUAUUUACACGACAAAAUCCGAUUGAAAAGGAGGACGAAAGUGUUCCGUUAAUCCUUCCCUCUUCCCCCACCCCUCCUCGCGGCAUCACCUCCACUUUUCCUCUCUCUCCUCCCUUACAUUCCCCACCACCUUCCUUUCUCCACAUCGGUUCCUUUUCUCCUUUACCCCCGUCCUCCCUUCCUUGAAUCUAGCAGGAAUGAACGACCAGGUUGUGACCAAAUCUGGUCACACAACAAGAUCCCAUGGGAAAGGAGGGUGAGGGUGUGAGGAGAGGGGAAAACCAAAAUAGGGAACGUGGGGAGGCAAGAAAUAGAAGGUGAAGUGCUACAAGAGGAGAAAAGGUGGAGAAAAACAGAGGGAGGAUAAGGAAGGUGAGGUGGUGAGGAGGAAAAAAAAAAAAAGGGAGUAACAGAGGAAACAGUAAAAAAUGCAAAUUAUAAAAAUACUCCAAAUAUAUUUUAAAUUUUAAAGACACGUAAAAUACAAUUGCACGGUAAAUUUUUACCAUACAAUCCUAUAGUAUAAUUUUUAUAAAAUAUCCCAAAAAAUGUCUAAUCCAUGCCAACCCAUAGGUCUACAUAUGAUGGUAUCUAUAAUUGUAAAUGAAGUAAAACUUGAUAACUCUCACCCCUAAAGAGAAGCCACCUUUCCAUUUUCUCCCAUGGUUAUUGGGCGGCAGAGCCAAACUUUCAAAACCAUGACCCUAAUCUUGGUCUUAUCUCGAUAAAAAGAGAGAAAAAUACAAAAGAAAAUGCAUAACAAAUAAAAAAAUGUCAGAAAAGCACAUAAACCACAUCACAUUUUAGUUAUGAUAAAAUGAACAAGAGCAUACCCAUCAAGUGACAAUUGUAACAGGUACAAGGAAGCUGUCAUACAAACUUACGUUCAACUGAGAAGCUAGUCAAAACAUGGGCUACUAUAUGGGCCUAUACAUCAUUCAAGUAUUCUGAUUCAAAAUGAACAUUUUUAGCAAGAAGCUUCAAAUUGACAGCCAAAAGUCAGUGGUCCUUUCUCUCCAUUCCGUGCUU